AACGUGGCCAAGUAUUAGAGGAACGUAGAAAUAGAAAAUAGAAGUCAGCUUUUACGUGUCCUAUACGUGGCCAUUUCUUAGUGCUUAAGUGAGAGCCAGGCCAAGAUAUUUUAGACUUGCACGGGCGCUCGCCUCCUAUAAAUAGCUGUGGGUCACGCUGCUCAAAGCACAGCUCUGAGAGAAAGACAUAGACACUGGAGGAGGGAGCCUGAGAGAAAGAAAGACACCAGAAAGAUAAAGAAGAGAGAUGAAGAAUUCAUGCAUGCAUCCACAUUUGAAGAAGAAUAGAGCGUUUAGGUGCUGCUGGAGGGAAGAGCCGAGCCAUACAUCAGAAGAAAUAUGAGUAUAUGUGUGUUCGUCAGAUUUUAUACAAAGAUGAUGGAGUUUCAUCUUCUUGCAAAAUAAUAUUCUAAAGGAGAAAUCAUAUUAUCUGAGGGAAGUAGCUGCUUUGCCUUACUCCCCGAUCUCGCUUUAUUGUUGUCUUCUUUGAUUAUCGGUUAAUAUUGUUGCACCUUGAUCCUUAUUGAUCCUCUCUUGAUCCUUGAGAGAGGGAUGUGUUGACCUCGUAUUCCAUUUGUUGAUGGAAUCAGAGUAUUUUGGAGGAACUCGUGAGAAGUCAUACGCGUAUUGUCUUUGAGUGAUAUUACAGUGAUUCUAUCGUUGAUUCAAACACAUAUCCUAUUUUGUAUUGGUGUCACAACGGCAAACAUAUUGUACCGGUCAUAGUUCAGGUAUGGGACUGUCUGAGUUCUCCGCUAAGGACGGACCUUGUUCGGGAACGUGUCGGUGAUGGAUCCGUAGGAGCGAGCGACAUCAGUAGGUCCAGGUGUUUGGGUCUUAGUGGGUACCAGAGCUCUGCUCUUCUGGAACCUGUGUGGUUCUAGUCGAGACUGUCGACGUCGGAGUACCCCUCUUAAGAGCGUAAAAUUGUGAAAUUUCACCCAUGUGACUCCCGGGUUGGGAAGCUUGCGGUCAUGUGUGAUGCCAAUAAUUUCCUUGUUCAUUUCUUCUGUUGAUCUACACCAUCAUACAAUCGCUCCUUGUUGAAUAGUGAAGUAUCUGCUUGCUGAGUAUGAUUUGUCGUACUCACCCUUGCUUCCUCUGUUUUUUAGAUGCGAACGAGGUAACUUAAGUAUGUUCAACUUAAGUAUGUUCAGAAGAUGUCUUCAUCCAAGACUAGGCUUGACCAGCGGGUCGGAAGCGACUAGAGAAUAUGAUGUCUUUACUCAACUAUUUGUAGAUGUCAAGGAAUUUGUAUAGUACAUAUAUUAGCUUUUGUGAUCCACUUCUGGUUUAUGCCUGCUUUAUCAUGCCUUGCGUGACUAUAGGCCUCUGGUCUAUAGGCGCGCGGCGGCUGUCUCGCCNNNNNNNNNNNNNNNNNNNNNNNNNNNNNNNNNNNNNNNNNNNNNNNNNNNNNNNNNNNNNNNNNNNNNNNNNNNNNNNNNNNNNNNNNNNNNNNNNNNNNNNNNNNNNNNNNNNNNNNNNNNNNNNNNNNNNNNNNNNNNNNNNNNNNNNNNNNNNNNNNNNNNNNNNNNNNNNNNNNNNNNNNNNNNNNNNNNNNNNNNNNNNNNNNNNNNNNNNNNNNNNNNNNNNNNNNNNNNNNNNNNNNNNNNNNNNNNNNNNNNNNNNNNNNNNNNNNNNNNNNNNNNNNNNNNUAGGCCGUCACGCCCCGAGACCGGGCCUAGCCGAGACAGCCGCCGCGCGCCUAUAGACCAGGAGGACUAUAGUCAUGCAUGGCGUGAUUAAUUAAGCAUUAACCAUCAGUGGAUCACAAAACCACAUAUAUAUUGACUAUAGAAAUUUCUUUACAUAUACAAGUAGACAAAAUACAUUAAAAUCUCUAGUCGUUUCCCACCCACUAGUCCAGCCUAUUCUUGGAUGACAUCUUCUAGGCAUACUUAAGUUACACCGACUGCAUCUAAGAAACAGAGGAGACAAGGGUGAGUACGAUAAAUCAUACUCAACAAGCAAAUACUUCAGUAUUCAAUAAGGAGCAAUGGUAUGAUGGUGUAGAUCAACAGACGAACUGAAUUCAAAGGAUAACAAUGUAACAACCAUUGGAAUCGUAUUUUGAUGUAAAUGGACAAAAGAACAAAAUACCAGAUUUAGUAAAAACAACAAGGAAUCUAUUGGCGUCACACAUGACCGCAAGCUUCCCAACCCGGGAGUCACAGGGGUGAAAUUUCACACUUUUACGCUCUUAAGAGGGGUACUCCGACGUCGACAGUCUCGACUAGAACCACACAGGUUCCAGAAGAGCAGAGGUCUUGUAUCCACUAAGACCCGAACACCUGGACCUACUGAUGUGGAUCGCUCCUACGGAUCCAUCACCGACACGUUCUUGAACAAGGUCCGUCCUUAGCGGAGAACUCAGACAGUCCCAUACCUGAACUGUGGCCGGUACAAUAUGUUUGCCGUCGUGACACCAGUACAAAAUAGGAUAUGUGUUUGAAUCAAUGAUAGAAUCACUGUAAUAUCAGUCAAAGACAAUACGCGUAUUACUUCUCACGAGUUCCUCCAAAAUACUCUGAUUCCAUCAACAAAUGGAAUACGAGGACAACACAUCCCUCUCUCAAGGAUCAAGAGAGGAUCAAUAAGGACCAAGGUGCAACAAUAUUAACCAAUAAUCAAAGAAGACAACAAUAAAGCGAGAUCGGGGAGUUAGGCAAAGCAGCUACUUGCCUCAGAUAAUAUGAUUUCUCCUUUAGAAUAAUAUUUUGCAAGAAGAUGAAACUCCAUCAUCUUUGUAUAAAAUCUGACGAACACACAUAUACUCAUAUUUCUUCUGAUGUAUGGCUUGGCUCUUCCCUCCAGCAGCACCUAAAUGCUCUAUUCUUCUUCAAAUAUGGAUGCAUGCAUGAAUUCUUCAUCUCUCUUCUUUAUCUUUCUGGUGUCUUUCUUUCUCUCAGGCUCUCUCCUCCAGUGUUUAUGCCUUUCUCUCAGAGCUGUGCUUCGAGUAGCGUGACCCACAGCUAUUUAUAGGAGGCGAGCGCCCGUGCAAGUCUAAAAUAUCUUGGCCUGGCUCUUACUUAAGCACUAAGAAAUGGCCACGUAUAGGACACGUAAAAGCUGACUUCUAUUUUUUAUUUCUACGUUCCUCUAGUACUUGGCCACGUUGCAGCCCACGUAGGAAACUUGGGUUUCUAGCGAUGCAGCCGAUGCAUGCAUUUACCCACGUUUGCUUCCAUUCCUCUCCUGUACGUGUAGUUGAUUCACUACAGUUUUCAAAACACCUGACACAUGCAUGCAUAUCCUCUAGAACCAAGCCACGUUGCCUCUUCCUCAUGAUUACAUACAUGCACCUAUUUGACUUGGAGCUCUAGUACUAGGAAAUAUCUACCGGUGUAUCAUUUGUACCUGGUCUAAUUUCAUCUGUUCAAAUGCCACGUUAACUCUCUUGUAAUUUUCUAGCUUAUAUGGCCAACUAGCUAGUAGUAUUUUCCAUGCCUAUAUCACAACGUGAGUGCAUGAAUGCAAGUCUAUGCGCACAUACACCUACUCUUACUUAGUGUGUAAUUUUCUAAUAUUUAAUGCAUGCAAAAAUUUACAGCUCUAUCUUAAUUCUUUGAAUCAAGAAUUUAGCAUAACUUAGCAGAUAAUACAAAUUUAAUUACUUAUCUUAAUUUAAGUCAAUAACCCAAAAAUAUGGGUUAUUACAUCCUUCCCACCUUAUAAGAAUUUCGUCCCCGAAAUUCAACACUAACAUCUAUGUUUUUUUUAGUGAUCAAAUUCCCUCCCAUCAUAUUUGGAACAGUUUAUUUGAUGCAUGCUCAAUAAUUAAUUAAAAAUAAUGCAAAAAAGGAUUUGCAAUCUUUCUACAAUUCAUGGAUAUAUCUGCUAUAACAUAAGUUGGCAACACUAAACAUUUUAUUUGGUAAAUUCAUUAACAAAAAGGAUAGAUAGUGGUAUAGCAAUUGUCCCAUUACUAGAACAUUAUUACCGGUUGUCUUAAACAAGAAAAUCUACACAAAUAUUAAGUCAUGUAUUAAUCUAACAAGAUGUCUAUUUAUUUCCCAUGCAUCCUCAAAUUUCAUCCAUAAUGUGUACACUAUAUUUUUUAUUUGCCUGGAUAUCUAUUGAAACUAUUCAUGAGUACCAACACACAAACUAGUUGAGACAAGAUAUGAAAAUAAAAUCUUCAUAGCUGUCACACAACACAAAUAUUUUCGACGAUCUACCCCUUUAUCCCAGCGCAACCUAAAAACCUAGAGCUUCACGCCCCGAGACCGGGCCUAGGCGAGACAGCCGCCGCGAGCCUAUAGACCAGAGGCCUAUAGUCACGCAAGGCAUGAUAAAGCAGGCAUAAACCAGAAGUGGAUCACAAAAGCUAAUAUAUUUACUAUACAAAUUCCUUGACAUCUACAAAUAGUUGAGUAAAGACAUCAUAUUCUCUAGUCGCUUCCCACCCGCUGGUCAAGCCUAGUCUUGGAUGAAGACAUCUUCUGAACAUACUUAAGUUGAACAUACUUAAGUUACCUCGUUCGCAUCUAAAAAAACAGAGGAAGCAAGGGUGAGUACGGCAAAUGAUACUCAGCAAGCAGAUACUUCACUAUUCAACAAGGAGCGAUGGUAUGAUGGUGUAGAUCAACAGACGAAAUGAACAAGGAAAUUAUUGGCAUCACACAUGACCGCAAGCUUCCCAACCCGGGAGUCACAGGGGUGAAAUUUCACACUUUUACGCUCUUAAGAGGGGUACUCCGACGUCGACAGUCUCGACUAGAACCACACAGGUUCCAGAAGAGCAGAGCUCUUGUACCCACUAAGACCCGAACACCUGGUCCUACUGAUGUCGAUCGCUCCUACGGAUCCAUCACCGACACGUUCCUGAACAAGGUCCGUCCUUAGCGGAGAACUCAGACAGUCCCAUACCUAAACUGUGACCGGUACAAUAUGUUUGCCGUCGUGACACCAAUACAAAAUAGGAUAUGUGUUUGAAUCAACGGUAGAAUCACUGUAAUAUCAGUCAAAGACAAUACGCGUAUGACUUGUCACGAGUUCCUCCAAAAUACUCUGAUUCCAUCAACAAAUGGAAUACGAGGACAACACAUCCCUCUCUCAAGGAUCAAGAGAGGAUCAAUAAGGAUCAAGGUGCAACAAUAUUAACCGAUAAUCAAAGAAGACAACAAUAAAGCGACAUCGGGGAGUUAGGCAAAGCAGCUACUUGCCUCAGAUAAUAUGAUUUCUCCUUUAGAAUAAUAUUUUGCAAGAAGAUGAAACUCCAUCAUCUUUGUAUAAAAUCUGACGAACACACAUAUACUCAUAUUUCUUCUGAUGUAUGGCUUGGCUCUUCCCUCCAGCAGCACCUAAAUGCUCUAUUCUUCUUCAAAUGUGGAUGCAUGCAUGAAUUCUUCAUCUCUCUUCUUUAUCUUUCUGGUGUCUUUCUUUCUCUCAGGCUCUCUCCUCCAAUGUUUAUGUCUUUCUCUCAGAGCUGUGCUUUGAGCAGCGUAACCCACAUCUCUUUAUAGGAGGCGAGGGCCCGUGCAAGUCUAAAAUAUCUUGGCCUGGCUCUUACUUAAGCACUAAGAAAUGGCCAUGUAUAGGACACGUAAAAGCUGACUUCUAUUUUCUAUUUCUACGUUCCUCUAGUACUUGGCCACGUUGCAGCCCACGUAGGAAACUUGGGUUUCUAGCGAUGCAGCCGAUGCAUGCAUUAACCCACGUUUGCUUCCAUUCCUCUCCUGUACGUGUAGUUUAUUUCACUAGAGUUUUCAAAACACCUGACACAUGCAUGCAUACCCUCUAGAACCAAGCCACGUUGCCUCUUCCUCAUGAUUACAUACAUGCACCUAUUUGACUUGGAGCUCUAGUACUAGGAAUUAUCUACCGGUGUAUCAUUUGUACCUGGUCUAAUUUCAUCUGUUCAAAUGCCACGUUAACUCUCUUGUAAUUUUCUAGCUUAUAUGGCCAACUAGCUAGUAGUAUUUUCCAUGCCUAUAUCACAAUGUGAGUGCAUGAAUGCAAGUCUAUGCGCACAUACACCUACUCUUACUUAGUGUGUAAUUUUCUAAUAUUUAAUGCAUGCAAAAAUUUACAGCUCUAUCUUAAUUCUUUGAAUCAAGAAUUUAGCAUAACUUAGCAGAUAAUACAAAUUUAAUUACUUAUCUUAAUUUAAGUCAAUAACCCAAGAAUAUGGGUUAUUACAUCCUUCCCACCUUAUAAGAAUUUCGUCCCUGAAAUUCAACACUAACAUCUAUGUUUUUUUUAGUGAUCAAAUUCCCUCCCAUCAUAUUUGGAACAGUUUAUUUGAUGCAUGCUCAAUAAUUAAUUAAAAAUAAUGCAAAAAAGGAUUUGCAAUCUUUCUACAAUUCAUGGAUAUAUCUGCUAUAACAUAAGUUGGCAACACUAAACAUUUUAUUUGGUAAAUUCAUUAACAAAAAGGAUAGAUAGUGGUAUAGCAAUUGUCCCAUUACUAGAACAAUAUCACCGGUUGUCUUAAACAAGAAAAUCUACACAAAUAACAAGUCAUGUAUUAAUCUAACAAGAUUUCUAUUUAUUUCCCAUUCAUCCUCAAAUUUUACCAAUAAUAUGUACGCUAUAUUAUUUAUUUGCAUGGAUAUCUGUCGACAAUAUUCGUGAGUAACAACACACAAACUAGUUGAGACAAGAUAUGAAAAUAAAAUUUUCAUACCUGUCACACAACACAUAUAUAUUCGGCGAUCUACCCGUUUAUCCCAACGCAACCUAAAACCUAGAGCUCUUACCACUUUAACUGUCACGCCCUGAGACCGGGCCUAGGCGAGAUAGCCGCCGCGAGCCUAUAGACCAGAGGCCUAUAGUCACGCAAGGCAUGAUAAAGCAGGCAUAAACCAGAAGUGGAUCACAAAAGCUAAUAUAUUUACUAUACAAAUUCCUUGACAUCUACAAAUAGUUGAGUAAAGACAUCAUAUUCUUUAGUCGCUUCCCACCCGCUGGUCAAGCCUAGUCUUGGAUGAAGACAUCUUCUGAACAUACUUAAGUUGAACAUACUUAAGUUACCUCGUUCGCAUCUAAAAAAGCUUUAACUGUCAUGCCCCGAGACCGGGCCUAGGCAAGACAGCCGCCGCACGCCUAUAGACUAGGAGGACUAUAGUCAUGCAAGGCGUGAUUAAUUAAGCAUUAACCAUCAGUGGAUCACAAAAGCUCAUAUAUAUUGACUACAGAAAUUUCUUUACAUAUACAAAUAGACAAAAUACAUUAAAAUCUCUAGUCGUUUCCCACCCACUGGUCCAGCCUAUUCUUGGAUGACAUCUUCUGGGCAUACUUAAGUUACACCGACUGCAUUUAAGAAACAGAGGAGACAAGGGUGAGUAUGAUAAAUCAUACUCAGCAAGCAAAUACUUCACUAUUCAAUAAGGAGCAAUGGUAUGAUGGUGUAGAUCAACAGAAGAACUAAAUUCAAAGGAUAACAAUGUAACAACCAUUGGAAUCGUAUUUUGAUGUAAAUGGACAAAAGAACAAAAUACCAGAUUUAGUAAAAACAACAAGGAGUCUAUUGGCGUCACACAUGACCGCAAGCUUCCCAACCCGGGAGUCACAGGAGUGAAAUUUCACACUUUUACGAUCUUAAGAGGGGUACUCCGACGUCGACAGCCUCGACUAGAACCACAAAGGUUCCAGAAGAGAAGAGCUCUUGUACCCACUAAGACCCGGACACCUGGACCUACUGAUGUCGGUCGCUCCUACGGAUCCAUCACCGACACGUUCCCGAACAAGGUCCGUCCUUAGCGGAGAACUCAGACAGUCCCAUACCUGAACUGUGACCGGUGCAAUACGUUUGCCGUCAUGACACCAAUAUAGAUGGAUGUGUGUUUGAAUCAACGAUAGGACCACUGAAGUAUCGGUCAAAGACAAUACACUCAUGACUUUUCAUGAGUUCCUCCAAAAUACUCUGAUUCCAUCAACAAAUGGAUUAUGAGGAAAACACAUCCCUCUUUCAAGGAUCAACAGAGGAUCAACAAAGAUCAAGGUGCAAUGAUAUUACCAGAUAAUCAAGCAAGACAACAAUAAGGAGAGAUCAGGGAGUUUAGCAAAGCAUCUACUUGCCUCAGAUAAUAUGAUUUCUCCUUUAGAAUAAUAUUCUGCAAGAAGAUGAAACUCCAUCAUCUUUGUAUAAAAUCUGACGAAUGCGCAUAUACUAAUAUUCUUCUGACGUAUGGCUCCGUUCUUCCCUCCAUCAGCAUCUACACGAUCUAUAUAUCUUCAAACAUGGACGCAUGCAUACUUGUAUUCUUCAUCUCUCUUCUCUUCGCUCUCUCCGCUGGUAUGCUCUAUUUCUCUCAUGCUCUCUCCUAGUAUCUUCUCUUCGCUCUAUUUCUCUCAUGCUCUCACUCUUGGUGAUGAGGAUGUGCAAAACGAGUAGCAGCAGCUAUUUAUAGAUGGUGAUCCCAGAGUGAACUCAGCCGAGCUGUUCUUGAAGCACACGAUCAUCUGGACUCUACCUAUUACGUGGCAUGCAUGCCUUGGUCUACGUGGAGAACCUGGUAAAAGAUCUAAGCCGCAAUGGCCUUUGACCCUUGCCCCUUGACCCUUCGAACUGCUGCCCCUUUUGCUUGUGCAAAAGCCAAACAAACCUGACCACUAUACAAAACCUCCACGUAGCAAUUUCUUUGUCCUAAAUAUCUAAGGGUGCUGCCAGCACAACCUAGCUUCAUCUAGUACCAGGCCACGUUGGCCCUCUCAUGCAGAGGAUUUUACUUAGCUUGUAAGGAUAGUACAUACGUGUGCAUUCUCAUCAUUACAUGCAUGCACAUCUUCUAGUAUUUGGCCAUCUUCUCAUUACUAGCUAGCCUGUACUAGCCACUAAUUUGUAUUAAUUUGCAUACUAAUGCCAUAACGUGAGUGCAUGGAUGCUAGUCUACGUGCACACAUACAUAUUUACUUAGUGUGUAAUUAUAUCCAUCUAAUAUUUUAUGCAUGCAAAAAUUACAGCUCUAUUUUAAUUCUUUGAAACAGGAAUCUAGCAUAACUUAUUUGCCCAAUUAUUUUAUGUUAAACAGAUAACAGAAAUUUAAUACCCAACUUAAUUUAAAUUAAUAACCCAAAAAUUUGGGUUAUUACAUCCUUCCCACCUUGUAAGAAUUCCGUCCCCGAAAUUCAACACUAACAUACACACUAUAUUUUUUUAGUGGUCAAAUAUUCUUUGAUAAUAUUUGGGACAGUUUAUUUAAUUCAUGCUCAACAAUUAAUUAUAAAUAAUGAAACAAAAUUGCAAUAUUUUCUACAAUUUAUGGAUAUAUCUGCUAUAACAUAAGUUGGCAACACUAAUCAUUUUAUUUGGUAAGGUCAUUAACAAAAGAGGAUAGAUGGUGAUAUAGUAAUUCUCCCGUUACUAGAUAAAUAUCACCUGUUGUCUUAAACAAGAAAAUCUACACAAAUAACAAGUCAUGAAUUCAUCUAACAAAAUGUAUUUAUUUCCAAUGUAUUCUCAAAUUUCACCAAUAAUACGUACGCCAUAUUUUUAUUUUCCUGCAUAUUUGUCGAAAAUAUUCGUGAGUAACAACACACAAACUAGUUGAGACAAGAUAUGAAACUAAAUUCUUCAUACUUGUCAAACAACACAAAUAUAUAGUGACAAAAUUUAUUGCCAUGAACCAUUUUAGUUUAUAUGGUUCCUCAAGAGUCUAAUAAUGGUGUAAGCACUUCUUUUUUUCUACCAAUUGAUAAAAACAUCAUUUCUCUAACAAUAAUUAGUCACAAAUAUAAUCGACGAUCUACCCGUUUAUCGCAGCGCAACCUAAAAAACUAGAGCUCUGAUACCACUUCACGACAAUGAAGUGGUAUGGGUUAUUAAUUUUGACAAACAAUUAAUUCUAAUUAUUGUUACUAAGAGGGGUACCUCAUAUACGUUCUCAUAUACGUUCGCUUACAUGCUAAUAUAUUUAGCUAGACGCAAUGAACAAUAUACUCAUGAAGGUAUAUUUGUUGAAACAUACCUAGAGCUCUAGAGAAGGUAUUAAUAAAGACUAGGCUCAUGAGUAUAUUUGUUGAAACUACUCAUAUUUCUUCUGAUGUUUAUAUUAUCAUGUAAACAGUUCUACCCAUUUACAGCAUGUACUGUCACGCCCCGAGACCGGGCCUAGGCGAGACAGCCGCCGCGCGCCUAUAGACCAGAGGCCUAUAGUCACGCAAGGCAUGAUAAAGCAGGCAUAAACCAGAAGUGGAUCACAAAAGCUAAUAUAUUUACUAUACAAAUUCCUUGACAUCUACAAAAAGUUGAGUAAAGACAUCAUAUUCUCUAGUCGCUUCCCACUCGCUGGUCAAGCCUAGUCUUGGAUGAAGACAUCUUCUGAACAUACUUAAGUUGAACAUACUUGAGUUACCUCGUUCGCAUCUAAAAAACAGAGGAAGCAAGGGUGAGUACGACAAAUCAUACUCAGCAAGCAGAUACUUCACUAUUCAACAAGGAGCGAUGGUAUGAUGGUGUAGAUCAACAGACGAAAUGAACAAGGAAAUUAUUGGCAUCACACAUGACCGCAAGCUUCCCAACUCGGGAGUCACAGGGGUGAAAUUUCACACUUUUACGCUCUUAAGAGGGGUACUCCGACGUCGACAGUCUCGACUAGAACCACACAGGUUCCAGAAGAGCAGAGCUCUUGUACCCACUAAGACCCGAACACCUGGACCUACUGAUGUCGGUCGCUCCUACGGAUCCAUCACCGACACGUUCCCGAACAAGGUCCGUCCUUAGUGAAGAACCCAGACAGUCCCAUACCUGAACUGUGACCGGUACAUUACGUUUGCCGUCGUGACACCAAUACAAAAUAGGAUAUGUGUUUGAAUCAACGAUAGGGUCACUGGAAUAUCAAUACGCUCAUGGCUUUACAUGAGUUCCUCUCAAAACACACAGGUUCCAUUAACAAAUGGAUUACGAGGGUAACAUGUCCCUCUCUCAAUUGAAACAAGGAUCAGCAGAGGAUCAAUAAAGAUCAAGGUGCAACAAUACAAUCAGAUAAUCAAAGGAAGAUAACGGAUUUGAGAGUUAGUAAAGUAGCUACUUGCCUCAGAUAAUAUGAUUUCUCCUUUAGAAUAAUAUUUUGCAAGAAGAUGAAACUCCAUCAUCUUUGUAUAAAAUCUGACGAACACACAUAUAUUCAUAUUUCUUCUGAUGUAUGGCUCGGCUCUUCCCUCCAGCAGCACCUAAACGCUCUAUUCUUCUUCAAAUGUGGAUGCAUGCAUGAAUUCUUCAUCUCUCUUCUUUAUCUUUCUGGUGUCUUUCUUUCUCUCAGGCUCCCUCCUCCAGUGUCUAUGUCUUUCUCUCAGAGCUGUGCUUUGAGCAGCGUGACCCACAACUAUUUAUAGGAGGCGAGCGCCCGUGCAAGUCUAAAAUAUCUUGGCCUGGCUCUUACUUAAGCACUAAGAAAUGGCCACGUAUAGGACACGUAAAAGCUGACUUCUAUUUUCUAUUUCUAUGUUCCUCUAGUACUUGGCCACGUUGCAGCCCACGUAGGAAACUUGGGUUUCUAGCGAUGCAGCCGAUGCAUGCAUUUACCCACGUUUGCUUCCAGUCCUCUCCUGUACGUGUAGUUGAUUCACUACAGUUUUCAAAACACCUGACACAUGCAUGCAUAUCCUCUAGAACCAAGCCACGUUGCCUCUUCCUCAUGAUUACAUACAUGCACCUAUUUGACUUGGAGCUCUAGUACUAGGAAAUAUCUACCGGUGUAUCAUUUGUACCUGGUCUAAUUUCAUCUAUUCAAAUGCCACGUUAACUCUCUUGUAAUUGUCUAGCUUAUAUUUUCAACUAGCUAGUAGUAUUUCCCAUGCCUAUAUCACAACGUGAGUGCAUGAAUGCAAGUCUAUGCGCACAUGCACCUACUCUUACUUAGUGUGUAAUUUUUUAAUAUUUAAUGCAUGUAAAAAAAUUUACAACUCUAUCUUAAUUCUUUGAAUCAAGAAUUUAGCAUAACUUAGCACAUAAUACAAAUUUAUUUACUUAUCUUAAUUUAAAUCAAUAACCCAAAAAUAUGGGUUAUUACAUCCUUCCCACCUUAUAAGAAUUUCGUCCCCGAAAUUCAACACUAACAUCUAUGCUUUUUUUUAGUGAUCAAAUUCCCUCCCAUCAUAUGUGGAACAGUUUAUUUGAUGCAUGCUCAAUAAUUAAUUAAAAAUAAUGCAAAAAGGAUUUGCAAUCUUUCUACAAUUCAUGGAUAUAUCUGCUAUAACAUAAGUUGGCAACACUAAACAUUUUAUUUGGUAAAUUCAUUAACAAAAAGGAUAGAUAGUGGUAUAGCAAUUGUCCCAUUACUAGAACAAUAUCACCGGUUGUCUUAAACAAGAAAAUCUACACAAAUAACAAGUCAUGUAUUAAUCUAACAAGAUGUCUAUUUAUUUCCCAUUCAUCCUCAAAUUUCACCAAUAAUAUGUACGCUAUAUUAUUUAUUUGCAUGGAUAUCUGUCGACAAUAUUCGUGAGUAACAACACACAAACUAGUUGAGACAAGAUAUGAAAAUAAAAUUUUCAUACCUGUCACACAACACAAAUAUAUUCGGCGAUCUACCCGUUUAUCCCAACGCAACCUAAAACCUAGAGCUCUGAUACCACUUUAACUGUCUACUAUGACCCAUAUAGCAUCGUAUCCUGUAGAAGUUUGAGGUAGACCCGUGACAAAAUCCAUACUAAUUUCUUCCCAUUUCCUUGUCUAGUAAAUUUUAUAAAGUGGUAUCUGAGCUCUAGGUUUUAGGUUGCGUUGGGAUAAACGGGUAGAUCGCCGAAUAUAUUUGUGUUGUGUGACAGGUAUGAAAAAUUUAUUUUCAUAUCUUGUCUCAACUAGUUUGUGUGUUGUUACUUACGAAUAUUGUCAACAGAUAUCCAUGCAAAACAAUAAGGUAAUUGCUUAUGCUUUUCGACAGCUAAAGACACAUGAGAAAAAUUAUCCUACUCAUGAUUUGGAAUUGGGUGCUGUCAUCUUUGCAUUAAAAAUAUGGAGGUAUUAUUUGUAUGAAGAAUGAUGUGAAAUUUAUACAGAUCAUAAGAGCCUGAAAUACAUAUUCACCCAGAAGGAAUUAAACAUGCGACAACGAAGGUGGCUAGAGCUACUUAAGGAUUAUGAUAUCAACAUAAAUUACCAUCCAGGUAAAGCUAACGUCGUGGCCGAUGCACUUAGUAGAAAGACUGUUUGCAACAUGGCAUGUCUAAUUACUACACAAAGAGACAUUUUGAGGGACAUGGAGAAAUUGGGUAUAGAAGUAUAUGUACGUGAUUCAACUAGCACUGUUAUGGCAUUACAAGUCAAGCCUGAUCUGCAAGACAAAAUCCGGAUGAAACAAAUGGACGACCCAUUUCUUUUGAACCUCCGAAAGGGGAUAGAACAAGGAAAGCCAUCGGAGUUUCAUAUAAGAAGUGAUGGGUCAGUAUGGCUGAGGAACCGCAUAUGUGUCCCUAACCAGCCAGAUUUAAAGUUGGAAAUUAUGCAAGAGGCACACUCCACACCAUACAACGUGCACCCAGGGAGCACAAAAAUGUAUCAUGACAUUAAAGGGAAUUUUUGGUGGCUCAACAUGAAGAGAGAAAUACCAUAAUUUGUUUUAGAAUGUCCAAUAUGUCAGCAUGUAAAGGUAGACCAUCAAUAACCAGCCGGUCUUCUACAACCUUUAAAAAUCCUGACAUGGAAAUGGGAAGAAAUUAGUAUGGAUUUUGUCACGGGUCUACCUCAAACUUCUGCAGGAUACGAUGCUAUAUGGGUCAUAGUAGACAGUUAAAGGAUGUAAUAACCCAUAUUUUUGGGUUAUUGAUUUAAAUUAAGAUAAGUAAUUAAAUUUGUAUUAUCUGCUAAGUUAUGCUAAAUUCUCGAUUCAAAGAAUUAAGAUAGAGCUGUAAAUUUUUUUACAUGCAUUAAAUAUUAGAAAAUUACACACUAAGUAAGAGUAGGUGCAUGUGCGCAUAGACUUGCAUUCAUGCACUCACGUUGUGAUAUAGGCAUGGGAAAUACUACUAGCUAGUUGGCCAUAUAAGCUAGACAAUUACAAGAGAGUUAACGUGGCAUUUGAAUAGAUGAAAUUAGACCAGGUACAAAUGAUACCCCGGUAGAUAUUUCCUAGUACUAGAGCUCCAAGUCAAAUAGGUGCAUGUAUGUAAUCAUGAGGAAGAGGCAACGUGGCUUGGUUCUAGAGGAUAUGCAUGCAUGUGUCAGGUGUUUUGAAAACUCUAGUGAAUCAACUACACGUACAGGAGAGGAAUGGAAGCAAACGUGGGUAGAUGCAUGCAUCGGCUGCAUCGCUAGAAACCCAAGUUUCCUACGUGGGCUGCAACAUGGCCAAGUACUAGAGGAACAUAGAAAUAGAAAAUAGAAGUCAGCUUUUACGUGUCCUAUACGUGGCCAUUUCUUAGUGCUUAAGUAAGAGCCAGGCCAAGAUAUUUUAGACUUGCACGGGCGCUCGCCUCCUAUAAAUAGCUGUGAGUCACGCUGCUCAAAGCACAACUCUGAGAGAAAGACAGAAACACUGGAGGAGAGAGCCUGAGAGAAAGAAAGACACCAGAAAGAUAAAGAAGAGAGAUGAAGAAUUCAUGCAUGCAUCCACAUUUGAAGAAGAAUAGAGCGUUUAGGUGCUGCUGGAGGGAAGAGCCAAGCCAUACAUCAGAAGAAAUAUGAGUAUAUGUGUGUUCGUCAGAUUUCAUACAAAGAUGAUGGAGUUUCAUCUUCCUGCAGAAUAUUAUUCUAAAGGAGAAAUCAUAUUAUCUAAGGCAAGUAGCUGCUUUGCUAAACUCCCUGAUCUCUCCUUAUUGUUGUCUUGCUUGAUUAUCUGGUAAUAUCAUUGCACCUUGAUCCUUAUUGAUCCUCUCUUGAUCCUUGAGAGAGGGAUGUGUUGUUCUCGUAUUCCAUUUGUUGAUGGAAUCAGAGUAUUUUGGAGGAACUCGUGAGAAGUCAUACGCGUAUUGUCUUUGACUGAUAUUACAGUGAUUCUACCGUUGAUUCAAACACAUAUCCUAUUUUGUAUUGGUGUCACGACAGCAAACAUAUUGUAUCGGUCACAGUUCAGGUAUGGGACUGUCUGAGUUCUCCGCUAAGGACGGACCUUGUUCGGGGCGUGACAAAUUGUCACGCCCCAAGUGAGUCUUAGCCGUGACAAUCGCCACAUGCUUAUAAAUCUCAAAUUUAUAAGCAUGUUAGGCUAGUAAACAAAUUAUUUUCCAGUAUGCACAAGAGCCAACUUUAUUCAUUACUAGCUAUUACAAAGGUUAUGAUACAUGCAACUUCUUUAUUUACUCCCAACCCGUAGAUCUACUCCUACUGUUCAUCAUUCUCAUCAGCACAUCCAUCAUUUGCUACUUCUGCAAAAUCAACAACAAUAGCAAGAAUGAGUAUGAUCUCAUACUCAGCAAGCACACGGGUACACAGGAACUUCUCUCAGCAAAUAGUGACAGAACACAGGGGUUAGUUGUAAAGAAAGAGUUUGUUGGCAGAGGAAGAUAAUGGAGAUUAAUUUAAAGAAAAGGAAAGAAAUAACAGACAUCACACAUGACCGCAAGCUUCCCACCCCGGGAGUCACAGGGGUGAAAUUUCACACUUUUACGCUCUUAAGAGGGGUACUCCGACGUCAGCAGCCUCGACUAGAACCACACAGGCGCUAGUAGAGCAGAGCUCUCUAUUCCCCCAAGAACCGCCCACUCGACUUACUAGUGUCGAUCGCUCCUACGGAUCCAUCACCGACACGUUCCUGAACAAGGUCCGUCCUUAGUGGAGAACUCAGACAGUCCCAUACCUGAACUAUGACCGGUACAAUACGUUUGCCGUCGUGAUACCAGAUUUUAUAAAAUUUACUAGACAAGGAUUAGCAAGAGGAAGUACAUGCAAGACCAAAAUAAAUAUCACUAGGCUUUUCACAGAACCAACCAUCCAUGCAUGAGUCAUUAAUCCAUGUGCUCACAUGCAUGUACCAAGGAUUUCUCCACCCUGAUCAUAAACCAAAAGGUAGUACUGUGGUAUGCAUGCUAGCUUCAAGAGAUGUACAGGAAUCAAAUGAACAGUGCACAUUAUAGAGCUUCAGGAGUACUACUAGCUAUAGAGCAUGGCAUGAAUAGCGAGACAAACAAGGAAUAGGACAGCUAGAAAGGCUAGAUGGAACGCAUGCUUGCCUGACUCGCUGCUUCCUCUAAGCGCUCUUGCCGAUCAGUGUGAUUCUACUCCAUGCAAUGCUAGUUAGUGAACUGGUUUGUAUGUUGGGAUGAAUACUACAGCGUGCUCUUGCUCCUCUAUUUAUAGGCAUGGUAGGGUAGGAAAUGGAGCUGGAUAAGUAUAACUCAGCAGCCUCGAAUUGGCUUUUUAGGUUGAUAUCAGAGCUCCCUGAUCUCUCCUUGUUCUAUGCGGGAAUACCCAUUUAAUUUUUUGCAUUAAUUAGUCACAAAUAUACUCAUGAAUAGUUUCAACAGAUAUCCAUGCAAAUAAAUAAUAUAGCGUACAUAUUAUUGGUGAAAUUUGAGGAUGAAUGGGAAAUAAAUAGACAUCUUGUUAGAUUAAUACAUGACUUAAUAUUUGUGUAGAUUUUCUUGUUUAAGACAACUGGUGAUAUUGUUCCAGUAAUGGGACAAUUGCUAUACCACUAUCUAUCCUUUUUGUUAAUGAAUUUACCAAAUAAAAUGUUUAGUGUUGCCAACUUAUGUUAUAGCAGAUAUAUCCAUGAAUUGUAGAAAGAUUGCAAAUCCUUUUUUGCAUUAUUUUUAAUUAAUUAUUGAGCAUGCAUCAAAUAAACUGUUCCAAAUAUGAUGGGAGGGAAUUUGAUCACUAAAAAAAAGCAUAGAUGUUAGUGUUGAAUUUCGGGGACGAAAUUCUUAUAAGGUGGGGAGGAUGUAAUAACCCAUAUUUUUGGGUUAUUGAUUUAAAUUAAGAUAAGUAAUUAAAUUUGUAUUAUCUACUAAGUUAUGCUAAAUUCUUGAUUCAAAGAAUUAAGAUAGAGCUGUAAAUUUUUUUACAUGCAUUAAAUAUUAGAAAAUUACACACUAAGUAAGAGUAGGUGCAUGUGCGCAUAGACUUGCAUUCAUGCUCACGUUGUGAUAUAGGCAUGGGAAAUACUACUAGCUAGUUGGCCAUAUAAGCUAGACAAUUACAAGAGAGUUAACGUUGCAUUUGAAUAGAUGAAAUUAGACCAGGUACAAAUGAUACACCGGUAGAUAUUUUCUAGUACUAGAGCUCCAAGUCAAAUAGGUGCAUGUAUGUAAUCAUGAGGAAGAGGCAACGUGGCUUGGUUCUAGAGGAUAUGCAUGCAUGUGUCAGGUGUUUUGAAAACUCUAGUGAAUCAACUACACGUAUAGAAGAGGAAUGGAAGCAAACGUGGGUAGAUGCAUGCAUCGGCUGUAUCUCUAGAAACCCAAGUUUCCUACAUGGGCUGCAACAUGGCCAAGUACUAGAGGAACAUAGAAAUAGAAAAUAGAAGUCAGCUUUUACGUGUCCUAUACGUGGCCAUUUCUUAGUGCUUAAGUGAGAGUCAGGCCAAGAUAUUUUAGACUUGCACGGGCGCUCGCCUCCUAUAAAUAGCUGUGGGUCACGCUGCUCAAAGCACAGCUCUGAGAGAAAGACAUAGACACUGGAGGAGAGAGCCUGAGAAAAAGAAAUACACCAGAAAGAUAAAGAAGAGAGAUGAAGAAUUCAUGCAUGCAUCCACAUUUGAAGAAGAAUAGAGCGUUUAGGUGCUGCUGGAGGGAAGAGCCGAGCCAUACAUCAGAAGAAAUGUGAGUAUAUGUGUGUUCGGCACAUUUUAUACAAAGAUGAUGGAGUUUCAUCUUCUUGCAAAAUAUUAUUCUAAAGGAGAAAUCAUAUUAUCUGAGGCAAGUAGCUGCUUUGCCUAACUCCCCGAUCUCGCUUUAUUGUUGUCUUCUUUGAUUAUCGGUUAAUAUUGUUGCACCUUGAUCCUUAUUGAUCCUCUCUUGAUCCUUAAGAGAGGGAUGUGUUGUCCUCGUAUUCCAUUUGUUGAUGGAAUCAUAGUAUUUUGGAGGAACUCGUGAGAAGUCAUACACGUAUUGUCUUUGACUGAUAUUACAGUGAUUCUACCGUUGAUUCAAACACAUAUCCUAUUUUGUAUUGGUGUCAUGACGGCAAACAUAUUGUACCGGUCACAGUUCAGGUAUGGGACUGUCUGAGUUCUCCGCUAAGGACGGACCUUGUUCGGGAACGUGUCGGUGAUGGAUCCGUAAGAGCGAUCGACAUCAGUAGGUCCAGGUGUUCGGGUCUUAGUGGGUACAAGAGCUCUGCUCUUCUGGAACCUGUGUGGUUCUAGUCGAGACUGUCGACGUCGGAGUACGCCUCUUAAGAGCGUAAAAGUGUGAAAUUUCACCCCUGUGACUCCCGGGUUGGGAAGCUUGCGGUCAUGUGUGAUGCCAAUAAUUUCCUUGUUCAUUUCGUCUGUUGAUCUACACCAUCAUACCAUCGCUCCUUGUUGAAUAGUGAAGUAUCUGCUUGCUGAGUAUGAUUUGUCGUACUCACCCUUGCUUCCUCUGUUUUUUUAGAUGCGAACGAGGUAACUUAAGUAUGUUCAGAAGAUGUCUUCAUCCAAGACUAGGCUUGACCAGCGGGUGGGAAGCGACUAGAGAAUAUGACGUCUUUACUCAACUAUUUGUAGAUGUCAAGGAAUUUGUAUAGUAAAUAUAUUAGCUUUUGUGAUCCACUUCUGGUUUAUGCCUGCUUUAUCAUGCCUUGUGUGACUAUAGGCCUCUGGUCUAUAGGCGCGCGGCGGCUGUCUCGCCUAGGCCCGGUCUCGGGGCGUGACUUGCUUCCUCCGUUUUUUUAGAUGCGAACGAGGUAACUUAAGUAUGUUCAACUUAAGUAUGUUCAGAAGAUGUCUUCAUCCAAGACUAGGCUUGACCAGCGGGUGGGAAGCGACUAGAGAAUAUGAUGUCUUUACUCAACUAUUUNNNNNNNNNNCGUACUCACCCUUGCUUCCUCUGUUUUUUUAGAUGCGAACGAGGUAACUUAAGUAUGUUCAACUUAAGUAUGUUCAGAAGAUGUCUUCAUCCAAGACUAGGCUUGACCAGCGGGUGGGAAGCGACUAGAGAAUAUGAUGUCUUUACUCAACUAUUUGUAGAUGUCAAGGAAUUUGUAUAGUAAAUAUAUUAGCUUUUGUGAUCCACUUCUGGUUUAUGCCUGCUUUAUCAUGCCUUGCGUGACUAUAGUCCUCCUGGUCUAUAGGAGCGCGGCGGCUGUCUCGCCUAGGCCCGGUCUCGGGGCGUGACAGUUAAGGCGUGAUUAAUUAAGCAUUAACCAUCAGUGGAUCACAAAAGCUCAUAUAUAUUGACUACAGAAAUUUCUUUACAUGUACAAAUAGACAAAAUACAUUAAAAUCUCUAGUCGUUUCCCACCCACUCGUCGAGCCUAUUCUUGGAUGACAUCUUCUGGGCAUACUUAAGUUACACCGACUGCAUCUAAGAAAUAGAGGAGACAAGGGUGAGUACGAUAAAUCAUACUCAGCAAGCAAAUACUUCACUAUUCAAUAAGGAGCAAUGGUAUGAUGGUGUAGAUCAACAGACGAACUGAAUUCAGAGGAUAACAAUAUAACAACCAUUGGAAUCAUAUUUUGAUGUAAAUGGACAAAAGAACAAAAUACCAGAUUUAGUAAAAACAACAAGGAAUCUAUUGGCAUCACACAUGACCGCAAGCUUCCCAACCCGGGAGUCACAGGGGUGAAAUUUCACACUUUUACGCUCUUAAGAGUGGUACUCCGACGUCGACAGCCUCGACUAGAACCACACAGGCGCUAGUAGAGCAGAGCUCUCUAUUUCCCCAAGAACCGCCCACUCGACUUACUAGUGUCGAUCGCUCCUACGGAUCCAUCACCGACACGUUCCUGAACAAGGUCCGUCCUUAGCGGAGAACUCAGACAGUCCCAUACCUGAACUGUGACCGGUACAAUACGUUUGCCGUCGUGAUACCAGAUUUUAUAAAAUUUACUAGACAAGGAUUAGCAAGAGGAAGUACAUGCAAGACCAAAGUAAAUAUCACUAGGCUUUUCACAGAACCAACCAUCCAUGCAUGAGCCAUUAAUCCAUGUGCUCACAUGCAUGUACCAAGGAUUUCUCCACCGUGAUCAUAAACCAAAAGGUAGUACUAUGGUAUGCAUGCUAGCUUCAAGAGAUGUAUAGGAAUCAAAUGAACAGUGCACACUAUAGAGCUUCAGGAGUACUACUAGCUAUAGAGCAUGGCAUGAACAGCGAGACAAACAAGGAAUAGGACAACUAGAAACGCUAGAUGGAAUGCAUGCUUGCCUGACUCGCCGCUUCCUCUGAGGACUCUUGCCGAUCAGUGUGAUUCUACUCCAUGCAAUGCUAGUUAGUGAACUGGUUUGUAUGUUGGGAUGAAUACUACAGCGUGCUCUUGCUCCUCUAUUUAUAGGCAUGGUAGGGUAGGAAAUGGAGCUGGAUAAGUAUAACUCAGCAACCUCGAAUUGGCUUUUUAGGUUGAUAUCAGAGCUCCCUGAUCUCUCCUUGUUCUAUGCGGGAAUACCCGUUUAAUUUUUUGCAUUAAUUAGUCACAAAUAUACUCAUGAAUAGUUUCAACAGAUAUCCAUGCAAAUAAAUAAUAUAGCGUACAUAUUAUUGGUGAAAUUUGAGGAUGAAUGGGAAAUAAAUAGACAUCUUGUUAGAUUAAUACAUGACUUAAUAUUUGUGUAGAUUUUCUUGUUUAAGACAACCGGUGAUAUUGUUCUAGUAAUGGGACAAUUGCUAUACCACUAUCUAUCCUUUUUGUUAAUGAAUUUACCAAAUAAAAUGUUUAGUGUUGCCAACUUAUGUUAUAGCAGAUAUAUCCAUGAAUUGUAGAAAGAUUGCAAAUCCUUUUAUGCAUUAUUUUUAAUUAAUUAUUGAGCAUGCAUCAAAUAAACUGUUCCAAAUAUGAUGGGAGGGAAUUUGAUCACUAAAAAAAAGCAUAGAUGUUAGUGUUGAAUUUCGGGGACGAAAUUCUUAUAAGGUGGGAAGGAUGUAAUAACCCAUAUUUUUGGGUUAUUGAUUUAAAUUAAGAUAAGUAAUUAAAUUUGUAUUAUCUACUAAGUUAUGCUAAAUUCUUGAUUCAAAGAAUUAAGAUAGAGCUGUAAAUUUUUUUACAUGCAUUAAAUAUUAGAAAAUUACACACUAAGUAAGAGUAGGUGCAUGUGCGCAUAGACUUGCAUUCAUGCUCACGUUGUGAUAUAGGCAUGGGAAAUACUACUAGCUAGUUGGCCAUAUAAGCUAGACAAUUACAAGAGAGUUAACGUUGCAUUUGAAUAGAUGAAAUUAGACCAGGUACAAAUGAUACACCGGUAGAUAUUUUCUAGUACUAGAGCUCCAAGUCAAAUAGGUGCAUGUAUGUAAUCAUGAGGAAGAGGCAACGUGGCUUGGUUCUAGAGGAUAUGCAUGCAUGUGUCAGGUGUUUUGAAAACUCUAGUGAAUCAACUACACGUAUAGAAGAGGAAUGGAAGCAAACGUGGGUAGAUGCAUGCAUCGGCUGUAUCUCUAGAAACCCAAGUUUCCUACAUGGGCUGCAACAUGGCCAAGUACUAGAGGAACAUAGAAAUAGAAAAUAGAAGUCAGCUUUUACGUGUCCUAUACGUGGCCAUUUCUUAGUGCUUAAGUGAGAGUCAGGCCAAGAUAUUUUAGACUUGCACGGGCGCUCGCCUCCUAUAAAUAGGAGUGGGUCACGCUGCUCAAAGCACAGCUCUGAGAGAAAGACAUAGACACUGGAGGAGAGAGCCUGAGAGAAAGAAAUACACCAGAAAGAUAAAGAAGAGAGAUGAAGAAUUCAUGCAUGCAUCCACAUUUGAAGAAGAAUAGAGCGUUUAGGUGCUGCUGGAGGGAAGAGCCGAGCCAUACAUCAGAAGAAAUGUGAGUAUAUGUGUGUUCGGCACAUUUUAUACAAAGAUGAUGGAGUUUCAUCUUCUUGCAAAAUAUUAUUCUAAAGGAGAAAUCAUAUUAUCUGAGGCAAGUAGCUGCUUUGCCUAACUCCCCGAUCUCGCUUUAUUGUUGUCUUCUUUGAUUAUCGGUUAAUAUUGUUGCACCUUGAUCCUUAUUGAUCCUCUCUUGAUCCUUAAGAGAGGGAUGUGUUGUCCUCGUAUUCCAUUUGUUGAUGGAAUCAUAGUAUUUUGGAGGAACUCGUGAGAAGUCAUACACGUAUUGUCUUUGACUGAUAUUACAGUGAUUCUACCGUUGAUUCAAACACAUAUCCUAUUUUGUAUUGGUGUCAUGACGGCAAACAUAUUGUACCGGUCACAGUUCAGGUAUGGGACUGUCUGAGUUCUCCGCUAAGGACGGACCUUGUUCGGGAACGUGUCGGUGAUGGAUCCGUAGGAGCGAUCGACAUCAGUAGGUCCAGGUGUUCGGGUCUUAGUGGGUACAAGAGCUCUGCUCUUCUGGAACCUGUGUGGUUCUAGUCGAGACUGUCGACGUCGGAGUACGCCUCUUAAGAGCGUAAAAGUGUGAAAUUUCACCCCUGUGACUCCCGGGUUGGGAAGCUUGCGGUCAUGUGUGAUGCCAAUAAUUUCCUUGUUCAUUUCGUCUGUUGAUCUACACCAUCAUACCAUCGCUCCUUGUUGAAUAGUGAAGUAUCUGCUUGCUGAGUAUGAUUUGUCGUACUCACCCUUGCUUCCUCUGUUUUUUUAGAUGCGAACGAGGUAACUUAAGUAUGUUCAGAAGAUGUCUUCAUCCAAGACUAGGCUUGACCAGCGGGUGGGAAGCGACUAGAGAAUAUGACGUCUUUACUCAACUAUUUGUAGAUGUCAAGGAAUUUGUAUAGUAAAUAUAUUAGCUUUUGUGAUCCACUUCUGGUUUAUGCCUGCUUUAUCAUGCCUUGUGUGACUAUAGGCCUCUGGUCUAUAGGCGCGCGGCGGCUGUCUCGCCUAGGCCCGGUCUCGGGGCGUGACUUGCUUCCUCCGUUUUUUUAGAUGCGAACGAGGUAACUUAAGUAUGUUCAACUUAAGUAUGUUCAGAAGAUGUCUUCAUCCAAGACUAGGCUUGACCAGCGGGUGGGAAGCGACUAGAGAAUAUGAUGUCUUUACUCAACUAUUUGUAGAUGUCAAGGAAUUUGUAUAGUAAAUAUAUUAGCUUUUGUGAUCCACUUCUGGUUUAUGCCUUCUUUAUCAUGCCUUGCGUGACUAUAGUCCUCCUUGUCUAUAGGCGCGCGGCGGCUGUCUCGCCUAGGCCCGGUCUCGGGGCGUGACAGUUAAGGCGUGAUUAAUUAAGCAUUAACCAUCAGUGGAUCACAAAAGCUCAUAUAUAUUGACGACAGAAAUUUCUUUACAUAUACAAAUAGACAAAAUACAUUAAAAUCUCUAGUCGUUUCCCACCCACUGGUCGAGCCUAUUCUUGGAUGACAUCUUCUGGGCAUACUUAAGUUACACCGACUGCAUCUAAGAAAUAGAGAAGACAAGGGUGAGUACGAUAAAUCAUACUCAGCAAGCAAAUACUUCACUAUUCAAUAAGGAGCAAUGGUAUGAUGGUGUAGAUCAACAGACGAACUGAAUUCAGAGGAUAACAAUGUAACAACCAUUGGAAUCAUAUUUUGAUGUAAAUGGACAAAAGAACAAAAUACCAGAUUUAGUAAAAACAACAAGGAAUCUAUUGGCGUCACACAUGACCGCAAGCUUCCCAACCCGGGAGUCACAGGGUGAAAUUUCACACUUUUACGCUCUUAAGAGGGGUACUCCGACGUCGACAGCCUCGACUAGAACCACACAGGUUCCAGAAGAGCAGAGCUCUUUUACCCACUAAGUCCCGGACACCUGUACCUACUUAUGUCGGUCGCUCCUACGGAUCCAUCACCGACACGUUCCCGAACAAGAUCCGACCUUAACGGAGAGCCCAGACAGUCCCAUACCUAAACUGUGACCGGUACAAUACGUUUGCAGUCGUGACACCAAUAUAGAUGGAUGUGUGUUUGAAUCAACAUUAGGACCACUGAAGUAUCGGUCAAAGACAAUACACUCAUGGCUUUUCAUGAGUUCCUCCAAAAUACUCUGAUUCCAUCAACAAAUGGAUUAUGAGGAAAACACAUCCCUCUUUCAAGGAUCAAUAGAGGAUCAACAAAGAUCAAGGUGCAAUGAUAUUACCAGAUAAUCAAGCAAGACAACAAUAAGGAGAGAUCAGGGAGUUUAGCAAAGCAGCUACUUGCCUCAGAUAAUAUGAUUUCUCCUUUAGAAUAAUACUCUGCAAGAAGAUGAAACUCCAUCAUCUUUGUAUAAAAUCUGACGACCGCGCAUAUACUAAUAUUCUUCUGACGUAUGGCUUUGUUCUUCCCUCCAUCAGCAUCUACACGAUCUAUAUAUCUUCAAACAUGGACGCAUGCAUACUUGUAUUCUUCAUCUCUCUUCUCUUCGCUCUCUCCGCUGGUAUGCUCUAUUUCUCUCAUGCUCUCUCCUAGUAUCUUCUCUUCGCUCUAUUUCUCUCAUGCUCUCACUCUUGGUGAUGAGGAUGUGCAAAACGAGUAGCAGUAGCUAUUUAUAGAUGGUGAGCCCAGAGUGAACUCAGCCGAGCUGUUCUUGAAGCACACAAUCAUCUAGACUCUACCUAUUACGUGGCAUGCAUGCCUUGGUCUACGUGGAGAACCUGGUAAAAGAUCUAAGCCGCAAUGGCCUUUGACCCUUGCCCCUUGACCCUUCGAACUGCUGCCCCUUUUGCUUGUGCAAAAGCCAAACAAACCUGACCACUAUACAAAAGCUCCACGUAGCAAUUUCUUUGUCCUAAAUAUCUAAGGAUGCUGCCAGCACAACCUAGCUUCAUCUAGUACCAGGCCACGUUGGCCCUCUCAUGCAGAGGAUUUUACUUAGCUUGUAAGGAUAGUACAUACGUGUGCAUUUUCAUCAUUACAUGCAUGCACAUCUUCUAGUAUUUGGCCAUCUUCUCAUUACUAGCUAUCCUGUACUAGCCACUAAUUUGUAUUAAUUUGCAUACUAAUGCCAUAACGUGAGUGCAUGGAUGCUAGUCUACGUGCACAUAUACAUAUUUACUUAGUGUGUAAUUAUAUCCAUCUAAUAUUUUAUGCAUGCAAAAAUUACAGCUCUAUUUUAAUUCUUUAAAACAGGAAUCUAGCAUAACUUAUUUGCCCAAUUAUUUUAUGUUAAACAGAUAACAGAAAUUUAAUACCCAACUUAAUUUAAAUUAAUAACCCAAAAAUAUGGGUUAUUACAUCUGCCACUUUAACUGUCACGCCCCGAGACCGGGCCUAGGCGAGACAGCCGCCGCGCGCCUAUAGACCAGGAGGACUAUAGUCACGCAAGGCGUGAUUAAUUAAGCAUUAACCAUCAGUGGAUCACAAAAGCUCAUAUAUAUUGACUACAUAAAUUUCUUUACAUAUACAAAUAGACAAAAUACAUUAAAAUCUCUAGUCGUUUCCCACCCACUGGUCCAGCCUAUUCUUGGAUGACAUCUUCUGGGCAUACUUAAGUUACACCGACUGCAUCUAAGAAAUAGAGGAGACAAGGGUGAGUACGAUAAAUCAUACUCAGCAAGCAAAUACUUCACUAUUCAAUAAGGAGCAAUGGUAUGAUGGUGUAGAUCAACAGACGAACUGAAUUCAGAGGAUAACAAUGUAACAACCAUUGGAAUCAUAUUUUGAUGUAAAUGGACAAAAGAACAAAAUACCAGAUUUAGUAAAAACAACAAGGAAUCUAUUGGCGUCACACAUGACCGCAAGCUUCCCAAUCCGGGAGUCACAGAGGUGAAAUUUCACACUUUUACGCUCUUAAGAGGGGUACUCCGACGUCGACAGCCUCGACUAGAACCACACAGGUUCCAGAAGAGCAGAGCUCUUUUACCCACUAAGUCCCGGACACCUGUACCUACUUAUGUCGGUCGCUCCUACGGAUCCAUCACCGACACGUUCCCGAACAAGAUCCGACCUUAACGGAGAGCCCAGACAGUCCCAUACCUAAACUGUGACCGGUACAAUACGUUUGCCGUCGUGACACCAAUAUAGAUGGAUGUGUGUUUGAAUCAACAUUAGGACCACUGAAGUAUCGGUCAAAGACAAUACACUCAUGGCUUUUCAUGAGUUCCUCCACAAUACUCUGAUUCCAUCAACAAAUGGAUUAUGAGAAAAACACAUACCUCUUUCAAGGAUCAAUAGAGGAUCAACAAAGAUCAAGGUGCAAUGAUAUUACCAGAUAAUCAAGCAAGACAACAAUAAGGAGAGAUCAGGGAGUUUAGCAAAGCAGCUACUUGCCUCAGAUAAUAUGAUUUCUCGUUUAGAAUAAUAUUCUGCAAGAAGAUGAAACUCCAUCAUCUUUGUAUAAAAUCUGACAAACGCGCAUAUACUAAUAUUCUUCUGACGUAUGGCUUCGUUCUUCCCUCCAUCAGCAUUUACACGAUCUAUAUAUCUUCAAACAUGGACGCAUGCAUACUUGUAUUCUUCAUCUCUCUUCUCUUCGCUCUCUCCGCUGGUAUGCUCUAUUUCUCUCAUGCUCUCUCCUAGUAUCUUCUCUUCGCUCUAUUUCUCUCAUGCUCUCACUCUUGGUGAUGAGGAUGUGCAAAACGAGUAGCAGCAGCUAUUUAUAGAUGGUGAGCCCAGAGUGAACUCAGCCGAGCUAUUCUUGAAGCACACGAUCAUCUAGACUCUACCUAUUACGUGGCAUGCAUGCCUUGGUCUACGUGGAGAACCUGGUAAAAGAUCUAAGCCGCAAUGGCCUUUGACCCUUGCCCCUUGACCCUUCGAACUGCUGCCCCUUUUGCUUGUGCAAAAGCCAAACAAACCUGACCACUAUACAAAACCUCCACGUAGCAAUUUCUUUGUCCUAAAUAUCGAAGGAUGCUGCCAGCACAACCUAGCUUCAUCUAGUACCAGGCCACGUUGGCCUCAUGCAGAGGAUUUUACUUAGCUUGUAAGGAUAGUACAUACGUGUGCAUUCUCAUCAUUACAUGCAUGCACAUCUUCUAGUAUUUGGCCAUCUUCUCAUUACUAGCUAUCCUGUACUAGCCACAAAUUUGUAUUAAUUUGCAUACUAAUGCCAUAACGUAGUGCAUGGAUGCUAGUCUACGUGCACAUAUACAUAUUUACUUAGUGUGUAAUUAUAUCCAUCUAAUAUUUUAUGCAUGCAAAAAUUACAGCUCUAUUUUAAUUCUUUAAAACAGGAAUCUAGUAUAACUUAUUUGCCCAAUUAUUUUAUGUUAAACAGAUAACAGAAAUUUAAUACCCAACUUAAUUUGAAUUAAUAACCCAAAGAUAUGGGUUAGUACAUCUGCCACUUUAACUGUCACGCCCCGAGACCGGGCCUAGGCGAGACAGCCGCCACGCGCCUAUAGACCAGGAGGACUAUAGUCACGCAAGGCGUGAUUAAUUAAGCAUUAACCAUCAGUGGAUCACAAAAGCUCAUAUAUAUUGACUACAGAAAUUUCUUUACAUAUACAAAUAGACAAAAUACAUUAAAAUCUCUAGUGGUUUUCCACCCACUGGUCCAGCCUAUUCUUGGAUGACAUCUUCUGGGCAUACUUAAGUUACACCGACUGCAUCUAAGAAACAGAGGAGACAAGGGUGAGUACGAUAAAUCAUACUCAGCAAGCAAAUACUUCACUAUUCAAUAAGGAGCAAUGGUAUGAUGGUGUAGAUCAACAGACGAAAUGAACAAGGAAAUUAUUGGCAUCACACAUGACCGCAAGCUUCCCAACCCGGGAGUCACAGGGGUGAAAGUUCACACUUUUACGCUCUUAAGAGGGGUACUCCGACGUCGACAGUCUCGACUAGAACCACACAGGUUCCAGAAGAGCAGAGCUCUUGUACCCACUAAGACCCGAACACCUGUACCUACUGAUGUCGAUCGCUCCUACGGAUCCAUCACCGACACGUUCCUGAACAAGGUCCGUCCUUAGCGGAGAACUCAGACAGUCCCAUACCUGAACUGUGACCGGUACAAUAUGUUUACCGUCGUGACACCAAUACAAAAUAGGAUAUGUGUUUGAAUCAACGGUAGAAUCACUGUAAUAUCAGUCAAAGACUAUACGCGUAUGACUUCUCACGAGUUCCUCCAAAAUACUCUGAUUCCAUCAACAAAUGGAAUACGAGGACAACACAUCCCUCUCUCAAGGAUCAAGAGAGGAUCAAUAAGGAUCAAGGUGCAACAAUAUUAACCGAUAAUCAAAGAAGACAACAAGCGAGAUCGGGGAGUUAGGGAAAGCAGCUACUUGCCUCAGGUAAUAUGAUUUCUCCUUUAGAAUAAUAUUUUGCAAGAAGAUGAAACUCCAUCAUCUUUAUAUAAAAUCUGACGAACACACAUAUACUCAUAUUUCUUCUGAUGUAUGGCUCGGCUCUUCCCUCCAGCAGCACCUAAACGCUCUAUUCUUCUUCAAAUGUGGAUGCAUGCAUGAAUUCUUCAUCUCUCUUCUUUAUCUUUCUGGUGUCUUUCUUUCUCUCAGGCUCUCUCCUCCAGUGUUUAUGUCUUUCUCUCAGAGCUGUGCUUUGAGCAGCGUGGCCCACAGCUAUUUAUAGGAGGCAAGCGCCCGUGCAAGUCUAAAAUAUCUUGGCCUGGCUCUCACUUAAGCACUAAGAAAUGGCCACGUAUAGGACACGUAAAAGCUGACUUCUAUUUUCUAUUUCUACGUUCCUCUAGUACUUGGCCACGUUGCAGCCCACGUAGGAAACUUGGGUUUCUAGCGAUGCAGCCGAUGCAUGCAUCUACCCACGUUUGCUGCCAUUCCUCUCCUGUACAUGUAGUUGAUUCACUAGAGUUUUCAAAACACCUGACACAUGCAUGCAUAUCCUCUAGAACCAAGCCACGUUGCCUCUUCCUCAUGAUUACAUACAUGCACCUAUUUGACUUGGAGCUCUAGUACUAGGAAAUAUGUACCGGUGUAUCAUUUGUACCUGGUCUAAUUUCAUCUGUUCAAAUGCCACGUUAACUCUCUUGUAAUUUUCUAGCUUAUAUGGCCAACUAGGUAGUAGUACUUCCCAUGCCUAUAUCACAACGUGAGUGCAUGAAUGCAAGUCUAUGCGCACAUACACCUACUCUUACAUAGUGUGUAAUUUUCUAAUAUUUAAUGCAUGCAAAAAUUUACAGCUCUAUCUUAAUUCUUUGAAUCAAGAAUUUAGCAUAACUUAGCAGAUAAUACAAAUUUAAUUACUUAUCUUAAUUUAAGUCAAUAACCCAAAAAUAUGGGUUAUUACAUCCUUCCCACCUUAUAAGAAUUUCGUCCCCGAAAUUAACACUAACAUCUAUGCUUUUUUUUAGUGAUCAAAUUCCCUCCCAUCAUAUUUGGAACAGUUUAUUUGAUGCAUGCUCAAUAAUUAAUUAUAAAAUAAUGCAAAAAAGAUUUGCAAUCUUUCUACAAUUCAUGGAUAUAUCUGCUAUAACAUAAGUUGGCAACACUAAACAUUUUAUUUGGUAAAUUCAUUAACAAAAAGGAUAGAUAGUGGUAUAGCAAUUGUCCCAUUACUAGAACAUUAUUACCGAUUGUCUUAAACAAGAAAAUCUACACAAAUAUUAAGUCAUGUAUUAAUCUAACAAGAUGUCUAUUUAUUUCCCAUGCAUCCUCAAAUUUCAUCAAUAAUGUGUACACUAUAUUUUUUAUUUGCCUGGAUAUCUGUUGAAACUAUUCAUGAGUACCAACACACAAACUAGUUGAGACAAGAUAUGAAAAUAAAAUCUUCAUAGCUGUCACACAACACAAAUAUAUAGUGACAAAAUUUAUUGCCAUGAACCAUUUUAGUUUAUAUGGUUCCUCAAGAGUCUAAUAAUGGUGUGAGCACUUCUUUUUUUCUACCAAUUGAUAAAAACAUCAUAUAAACUAAGUAAAUCGCCGAAUUUAGCUGCGAUUUAGGUUGCGUGCAUCCACAUAUCGCUUAUAUGGGUUAUCACCUAAAACCUAUUUAUAGAGCUCUAGAGCAUGAAAUAGGUUUUAGGUUGCGUUGGGAUAAAUGGGUAGAUCGCCGAGAUCGGGGAGUUAGGCAAAGCAGCUACUUGCCUCAGAUAAUAUGAUUUCUCCUUUAGAAUAAUAUUUGCAAGAAGAUGAAACUCUAUCAUCUUUGUAUAAAAUCUGACGAACACACAUAUACUCAUGUUUCUUCUGAUGUAUGGCUUGGCUCUUCCCUCCAGCAGCACCUAAACGCUCUAUUCUUCUUCAAAUGUGGAUGCAUGCAUGAAUUCUUCAUCUCUCUUCUUUAUCUUUCUGGUGUCUUUCUUUCUCUCAGGCUCUCUCCUCUAGUGUUUAUGUCUUUCUCUCAGAGUUGUGCUUUGAGCAGCGUGACCCACAACUAUUUAUAGGAGGCGAGCGCCCGUGCAAGUCUAAAAUAUCUUGGCAUGGCUCUUACUUAAGCACUAAGAAAUGGCCACGUAUAGGACACGUAAAAGCUGACUUCUAUUUUCUAUUUCUACGUUCCUCUAGUACUUGGCCACGUUGCAGCCCAGUAGGAAACUUGGGUUUCUAGAGUUAUUAGCAUAUUUUUUUUAGAGCUGUAGAGCAUGAACAGUGAGACAAACAAGGAAUAAUGAUACAUCUCUAUGCGGCUGUAGCUCCGAACUGUAUUUUAUAAUUAAUUAUUGAGCAUGCAUCAAAUAAACUGUUCCAAAUAUGAUGGGAGGGAAUUUGAUCACUAAAAAAAUAGCAUAGAUGUUAGUGUUGAAUUUUGGGGACGAAAUUCUUAUAAGGUGGGAAGGAUGUAAUAACCCAUAUUUUUGGGUUAUUGAUUUAAAUUAAGAUAAGUAAAUUUUUAUUAUUUUGUUAACAUAAAUAAUUGAGCGAAGAAGACAUGCUAGAUUAUUCUUGCAAGUAAUUAAAUAGAACUGUAAUUUUUGCAUGCGUAAAAUAUUAGAUGGAAAUGGACCAGGUACAAAUGAUAGAUUGGUAGAUAUUUCCGAGUACUAAAAUUCCAAGUCAACUAGGUGCAUGCAUGUCAUGAUGAGAAUGCACACGUAUGUAUUGUUCUUGCUAGCUAAGUAAAAAUCUAUGUGUACGUGGAGGUUGGCGUGGCAUGCAUGUAGUCUCUUGGACAGUCUAGUCCUAUACGUGGGCUCUUCCUAUGGUGCCAGGUUUAAUUAGGCCUUUGCACUAGCCGUAGGUGCAGCAGCCAAAUCAUUUUUUACCUAGCUUCAAGGGCCAAGGGUCAAGCGGCAAGAGUCACUGCGGCUGAGAUAUUUUAGCUAGUGACCGACUGUCAGCUCCUAUAAAUAGAACGCUCCUGCUGCUGCUCAAAGCACGACUCCGAGAGAGAAUUAGAUACUAGAGGGGUGAGUAUGAGAGAGAAAGAGGGUAAGAGAGAUGAAGAAUUCAUGCAUGCGCAUACAUGUUUGAAGUGAUAUGGAGAGAGGUGUCGAGCCAUCUGUCUAAAGAAGAAUAUUAGCAUAUGUAUGGUUCAUCAGAUUUUUAUACGAUGGAUUAUUACUUGCUGGCCGAAUAUUAUUCUAGAGUAGAAGUCUUAUUUUCUGAGGCAAGUAGCUACUUUACUAACUCUGAAAUCCGUUAUCUUCCUUUGAUUAUCUAAUUGUAUUGUUGCACCCUGAUCUUUAUUGAUCUCUGCUGAUCCUUGUUUCAAUUGAGAGAGGGACAUGUUACCCUCGUAAUCCAUUUGUUAAUGGAACCAGUGUGUUUUGAGAGGAACUCAUGUAAAGCCAUGAGCGUAUUGAUAUUCCAGUGAUCCUAUCGAUGAUUCAAACACAUAUCCUAUUUUGUAUUGGUGUCACGACGGCAAACGUAAUGUACCGGUCACAGUUCAGGUAUGGGACUGUCUGGGUUCUUCACUAAGGACGGACCUUGUUCGGGAACGUGUCGGUGAUGGAUCCGUAGGAGCGACCGACAUCAGUAGGUCCAGGUGUUUGGGUCUUAGUGGGUACAAGAGCUCUGCUCUUCUGAAACCUGUGUGUUUCUAGUCGAGACUGUCGAUGUCGGAGUACCCCUCUUAAGAGCGUAAAAGUGUGAAAUUUCACCCCUGUGACUCCCGGGUUGGGAAGCUUGCGGUCACGUGUGACGCCAAUACCUCCCUUGUUCGUCUUUGAUUAUACUAUUUAUUUUACACAUCUCCAGCAAAAUAUGUUCCAGUGAUUGUUACCUUGUUUAUCCUUUGGAUUCAGUUUGUUUGUUGAUCUACAUCAUUUUACCAUUGCUUUUGUUGAAUAAUGAAGUAUCUGCUUGCUGAGUAUGAUUUAUCGUACUCACCCUUGUCUCCUCCGUCUUUUUAGAUGCAGCCGAUGUAACUUAAGUAUGCCCAGAAGAUGUCAUCCAAGAUUAAGCUGGACCAGUGGGUAGGAAGCGACUAGAGAAUUUAAUGUAGUUUGCCUAUUUGUAAAUGUAAAGAAAUUUGUAAACCAAAUAUAUGAGAUUUUGUGAUCCACUUAGUCACGCAAGGCAUGAUAAAGCAGGCAUAAACCAGCAGUGGAUCACAAAAGCUAAUAUAUUUACUAUACAAAUUCCUUAACAUCUACAAAUAGUUGAGUAAAGACAUCAUAUUCUCUAGUCGCUUCCCACCCGCUGGUCAAGCCUAGUCUUGGAUGAAGACAUCUUCUGAACAUACUUAAGUUGAACAUACUUAAGUUACCUCGUUCGCAUCUAAAAAAAAGAGGAAGCAAGGGUGAGUACGACAAAUCAUACUCAGAAAGCAGAUACUUCACUAUUCAACAAGGAGCGAUGGUAUGAUGGUGUAGAUCAACAGACGAAAUGAACAAGGAAAUUAUUGGCAUCACACAUGACCGCAAGUUUCCCAACCCGGGAGUCACAGGGGUGAAAUUUCACACUUUUACGCUCUUAAGAGGGGUACUCCGACGUCGACAUUCUCGACUAGAACCACACAGGUUCCAGAAGAGCAGAGCUCUUGUACCCACUAAGACCCGAACACCUGGACCUAAUGAUGUCGAUCGCUCCUACGGAUCCAUCACCGACACGUUCCUGAACAAGGUCCGUCCUUAGCGGAGAACUCAGACAGUCCCAUACCUGAACUGUGACCGGUACAAUAUGUUUGCCGUCGUGACACCAAUACAAAAUAGGAUAUGUGUUUGAAUCAACGGUAGAAUCACUGUAAUAUCAGUCAAAGACAAUACGCGUAUGACUUCUCACGAGUUCCUCCAAAAUACUCUGAUUCCAUCAACAAAUGGAAUACGAGGACAACACAUCCCUCACUCAAGGAUCAAGAGAGGAUCAAUAAGGAUCAAGGUGCAACAAUAUUAACCGAUAAUCAAAGAAGACAACAAUAAAGUGAGGUCGGGGAGUUAGGCAAAGCAGCUACUUGCCUCAGAUAAUAUGAUUUCUCCUUUAGAAUAAUAUUUUGCAAGAAGAUGAAACUCCAUCAUCUUUGUAUAAAAUCUGACGAACACACAUAUACUCAUAUUUCUUCUGAUGUAUGGCUUGGCUCUUCCCUCCAGCAGCACCUAAACGCUCUAUUCUUCUUCAAAUGUGGAUGCAUGCAUGAAUUCUUCAUCUCUCUUCUUUAUCUUUCUGGUGUCUUUCUUUCUCUCAGGCUCUCUCCACCAGUGUUUAUGUCUUUCUCUCAGAGUUGUGCUUUGAGCAGCGUGACCCACAGCUAUUUAUAGGAGGCGAGCGCCCGUGCAAGUCUAAAAUAUCUUGGCCUGGCUCUUACUUAAGCACUAAGAAAUGGCCACGUAUAGGACACGUAAAAGCUGACUUCUAUUUUCUAUUUCUACGUUCCUCUAGUACUUGGCCACGUUGCAGCCCACGUAGGAAACAUGGGUUUCUAGCGAUGCAGCCGAUGCAUGCAUUUACUCACGUUUGCUUCCUUUCCUCUCCUGUACGUGUAGUUGAUUCACUACAGUUUUCAAAACAUCUGACACAUGCAUGCAUAUCCUCUAGAACCAAGCCACGUUGCCUCUUCCUCAUGAUUACAUACAUGCACCUAUUUGACUUGGAGCUCUAGUACUAGGAAAUAUCUACCGGUGUAUCAUUUGUACAUGGUCUAAUUUCAUCUGUUCAAAUGCCACGUUAACUCUCUUGUAAUUUUCUAGCUUAUAUGGCCAACUAGCUAGUAGUAUUUUCCAUGCCUAUAUCACAACGUGAGUACAUGAAUGCAAGUCUAUGCGCACAUACACCUAAUCUUACUUAGUGUGUAGUUUUCUAAUAUUUAAUGCAUGCAAAAAUUUACAGCUCUAUCUUAAUUCUUUGAAUCAAGAAUUUAGCAUAACUUAGCAGAUAAUACAAAUUUAAUUACUUAUCUUAAUUUAAGUCAAUAACCCAAAAAUAUGGGUUAUUACAUCCUUCCCACCUUAUAAGAAUUUCGUCCCCGAAAUUCAACACUAACAUCUAUGUUUUUUUUAGUGAUCAAAUUCCCUCCCAUCAUAUUUGGAACAGUUUAUUUGAUGCAUGCUCAAUAAUUAAUUAAAAAUAAUGCAAAAAAGGAUUUGCAAUCUUUCUACAGUUCAUGGAUAUAUCUGCUAUAACAUAAGUUGGCAACACUAAACAUUUUAUUUGGUAAAUUCAUUAACAAAAAGGAUAGAUAGUGGUAUAGCAAUUGUCCCAUUACUAGAACAAUAUCACCGGUUGUCUUAAACAAGAAAAUCUACACUAAUAACAAGUCAUGUAUUAAUCUAACAAGAUGUCUAUUUAUUUCCCAUUCAUCCUCAAAUUUCACCAAUAAUAUGUACGCUAUAUUAUUUAUUUGCAUGGAUAUCUGUCGACAAUAUUCGUGAGUAACAACACACAAACUAGUUGAGACAAGAUAUGGAAAUAAAAUUUUCAUACCUGUCACACAACACAAAUAUAUUCGGCGAUCUACCCGUUUAUCCCAACGCAACCUAAAACCUAGAGAUAUUUUAGAUCGCUAUAUUAGCUCUAGAGCAUAUAUAAUAUUUUUGAACUGGAGGAGAGAGCCCGAGAGAAAGAAAGACACCAGAAAGAUAAAGAAGAGAGAUGAAGAAUUCAUGCAUGCAUCCACAUUUGAAGAAGAAUAGAGCGUUUAGGUGCUGCUGGAGGGAAGAGUCGAGCCAUACAUCAGAAGAAAUAUGAGUAUAUGUGUGUUCGUCAGAUUUUAUACAAAGAUGAUGGAGUUUCAUCUUCUUGCAAAAUAUUAUUCUAAAGGAGAAAUCAUAUUAUCUGAGGCAAGUAGCUGCUUUGCCUAACUCCCCGAUCUCGCUUUAUUGUUGUCUUCUUUGAUUAUCGGUUAAUAUUGUUGCACCUUGAUCCUUAUUGAUCCUCUCUUGAUCCUUGAGAGAGGGAUGUGUUGUCCUCGUAUUCCAUUUGUUGAUGGAAUCAGAGUAUUUUGGAGGAACUCAUGAGAAGUCAUACGCGUAUUGUCUUUGACUGAUAUUAAAGUGAUUCUACCGUUGAUUCAAACACAUAUCCUAUUUUGUAUUGGUGUCACGACGGCAAACACCGACACGUUCCCAAACAAGGUUCGUCCUUAGCGGAGAACUCAGACAGUCCCAUACCUGAACUGUGACUGGUACAAUACGUUUGCCGUCAUGACACCAAUAUAGAUGGAUGUGUGUUUGAAUCAACGAUAGGACCAUUGAAGUAUCAGUCAAAGACAAUACACUCAUGACUUUUCAUGAGUUCCUCCAAAAUACUCUGAUUCCAUCAACAAAUAGAUUAUGAGGAAAACACAUCCCUCUUUCAAGGAUCAACAGAGGAUCAACAAAGAUCCAGGUGCAAUGAUAUUAGCAGAUAAUCAAGAAGGACAACAAUAAGGAGAGAUCAGGGAGUUUAGCAAAGCAGCUACUUGCCUCAGAUAAUAUGAUUUCUCCUUUAGAAUAAUAUUCUGCAAGAAGAUGAAGCUCCAUCAUCUUUGUAUAAAAUCUGACGAACGCGCAUAUACUAAUAAUCUUCUGACGUAUGGCUCUAGGUAUGUUAGUAACAAUAACAUAUGAGAACGUAUUUUGAACAAAGACCCACCUUGCUCUUCUGAUAAGCCUAUUUUUGAACUGGUUUGUGUGUGUCAGGUAUUUAUACCGAUGUAUCAAUAUUUUAGAUCCGUUCCAUCUAGCCUUUCUAGCUGUCCUAUUCCUUGUUUGUCUCACUGUUCAUGCCAUGCUCUAUAGCUAGUAGUACUUCUGAAGCUCUAUAAUGUGCACUGUUCAUUUGAUUCCUGUACAUCUCUUGAAGCUAGCAUGCAUACCACAGUACUACCUUUUGGUUUAUGAUCACGGUGGAGAAAUCCUUGGGACAUGCAUGUGAGCACAUGGAUUAAUGGCUCAUGCAUGGAUGGUUGGUUCUGUGAAAAGCCUAGUGAUAUUUAUUUUGGUCUUGCAUGUACUUCCUCUUGCUAAUCCUUGUCUAGUAAAUUUUAUAAAAUCUGGUAUCACGACGGGAAACGUAUUGUACCGGUCACAGUUCAGGUAUGGGACUGUCUGAGUUCUCUGCUAAAAACGCCACACGUUCGGAAGCGUGUCGAUGAUGGAUCCGUAGGAGCGAUCGACACUAGUAAGUCGAGUGGGCGGUUCUUGGGGGAGAGACCGGGCCUAGGCGAGACAGCCGCCGCGAGCCUAUAGACCAGAGGCCUAUAGUCACACAAGGCAUGAUAAAGCAGGCAUAAACCAGAAGUGGAUCACAAAAGCUAAUAUAUUUACUAUACAAAUUCCUUGACAUCUACAAAUAGUUGAGUAAAGACAUCAUAUUCUCUAGUCGCUUCCCACCCGCUGGUCAAGCCUAGUCUUGGAUGAAGACAUCUUCUGAACAUACUUAAGUUGAACAUACUUAAGUUACCUCGUUCGCAUCUAAAAAAACAUAGGAAGCAAGGGUGAGUACGACAAAUCAUACUCAGCAAGCAGAUACUUCACUAUUCAACAAGGAGCGAUGGUAUGAUGGUGUAGAUCAACAGACGAAAUGAACAAGGAAAUUAUUGGCAUCACACAUGACCGCAAGCUUCCCAACCCGGGAGUCACAGGGGUGAAAUUUCACACUUUUACGCUCUUAAGAGGGGUACUCCGACGUCGACAGUCUCGACUAGAACCACACAGGUUCCAGAAGAGCAGAUAAAUAAGGAGAGCUCCGUGAGUGGUAUCAGAGCUCUAGCUUUUUAGGUUGCGCUGCGAUAAACGGGUAGAUCGUCGAUUAUAUUUGUGACUAAUUAUUGUUAGAGAAAUGAUCUUUUUAUCAAUUGGUAGAAAAAAAGAAGUGCUUACACCAUUAUUAGACUCUUGAGGAACCAUAUAAACUAAAAUGGUUCAUGGCAAUAAAUUUUGUCACUAUAUAUUUGUGUUGUUUGACAAGUAUAAAGAAUUUAGUUUCAUAUCUUGUCUCAACUAGUUUGUGUGUUGUUACUCACGAAUAUUUUCGACAAAUAUGCAGGAAAAUAAAAAUAUGGCGUACGUAUUAUUGGUGAAAUUUGAGAAUGCAUGGGAAAUAAAUACAUUUUGUUAGAUUAAUUCAUGACUUGUUAUUUGUGUAGAUUUUCAUGUUUAAGACAACAGGUGAUAUUUAUCUAGUAACGGGAGAAUUACUAUAUCACCAUCUAUCCUCUUUUGUUAAUAACCUUACCAAAUAAAAUGAUUAGUGUUGCCAACUUAUGUUAUAGCAGAUAUAUCCAUAAAUUGUAGAAAAUAUUGCAAUUUUGUUUCAUUAUUUAUAAUUAAUUUUUGAGCAUGAAUUCAAUAAACUGUCCCAAAUAUUAUCAGAGAAUAUUUGACCACUAAAAAAAAUAUAGUGUGUAUGUUAGUGUUGAAUUUCGGGGACGAAAUUCUUACAAGGUGGGAAGGAUGUAAUAACCCAUAUUUUUGGGUUAUUAAUUUAAAUUAAGUUGGGUAUUAAAUUUCUGUUAUCUGUUUAACAUAAAAUAAUUGGGCAAAUAAGUUAUGCUAGAUUCCUGUUUCAAAGAAUUAAAAUAGAGCUGUAAUUUUUGCAUGCAUAAAAUAUUAGAUGGAUAUAAUUACACACUAAGUAAAUAUGUAUAUGUGCACGUAAACUAGCAUCCAUGCACUCACGUUAUGGCGUUAGUAUGCAAAUUAAUACAAAUUAGUGGCUAGUACAGGCUAGCUAGUAAUGAGAAGAUGGCCAAAUACUAGAAGAUGUGCAUGCAUGUAAUGAUGAGAAUGCACACGUAUGUACUAUCCUUACAAGCUAAGUAAAAUCCUCUGCAUGAGAGGGCCAACGUGGCCUGGUACUAGAUGAAGCUAGGUUGUGUUGGCAGCACCCUUAGAUAUUUAGGACAAUUUCAGCACCCUUAGAUAUUUAGGACAAAGAAAUUGCUACGUGGAGGUUUUGUAUAGUGGUCAGGUUUGUUUGGCUUUUGCACAAGCAAAAGGGCCAGCAGUUCGAAGGGUCAAGGGGCAAGGGUGAAAGGCCAUUGCGGCUUAGAUCUUUUACCAGGUUCUCCACGUAGACCAAGGCAUGCAUGCCACGUAAUAGGUAGAGUCCAGAUGAUCGUGUGCUUCAAGAACAGCUCAGCUGAGUUCACUCUGGGCUCACCAUCUAUAAAUAGCUGCUGCUACUCGUUUUGCACAUCCUCAUCACCAAGAGUGAGAGCAUGAGAGAAAUAGAGCGAAGAGAAGAUACUAGGAGAGAGCAUGAGAGAAACAGAGCAUACCAGCGGAGAGAGCGAAGAGAAGAGAGAUGAAGAAUACAAGUAUGCAUGCGUCCAUGUUUGAGGAUAUAUAGAUCGUGUAGAUGCUGAUGGAGGGAAGAACAAAGCCAUACGUCAGAAGAAUAUUAGUAUAUGCGCGUUCGUCAGAUUUUAUACAAAGAUGAUGGAGUUUCAUCUUCUUGCAGAAUAUUAUUCUAAAGGAGAAAUCAUAUUAUCCGAGGCAAGUAGCUGCUUUGCUAAAUUUCCUGAUCUCUCCUUAUUGUUGUCUUGCUUGAUUAUCUGGUAAUAUCAUUGCACCUUGAUAUUUGUUGAUCCUCUGUUGAUCCUUGAAAGAGGGAUGUGUUUUCCUCAUAAUCCAUUUGUUGAUGGAAUCAGAGUAUUUUGGAGGAACUCAUGAAAAGCCAUGAGUGUAUUGUCUUUGACCGAUACUUCAGUGGUCCUAAUGUUGAUUCAAACACACAUCCAUCUAUAUUGGUGUCACGACGGCAAACUUAUUGUACCGGUCACGGUUCAGGUAUGGGACUGUCUGGGCUCUCCAUUAAGGUCGGAUCUUGUUCGGGAACGUGUCGGUGAUGGAUCCGUAGGAGCGACCGACAUAAGUAGGUACAGGUGUCCGGGUCUUAGUGGGUAAAAGAGCUCUGCUCUUCUGGAACCUGUGUGGUUCUAGUCGAGGCUGUCGACGUCGGAGUACCCCUCUUAAGAGCGUAAAAGUGUGAAAUUUCACCCCUGUGACUCCCGGGUUGGGAAGCUUGCGGUCAUGUGUGACGCCAAUAGAUUCCUUGCUAUUUUUACUAAAUCUGGUAUUUUGUUCUUUUGUCCAUUUACAUCAAAAUACGAUUCCAAUGGUUGUUACAUUGUUAUCCUUUGAAUUCAGUUCGUCUGUUGAUCUACACCAUCAUACCAUUGCUCCUUAUUGAGUAGUGAAGUAUUUGCUUGCUGAGUAUGAUUUAUCGUACUCACCCUUGUCUCCUCCGUCUUUUUAGAUGCAGCCGAUGUAACUUAAGUAUGCCCAGAAGAUGUCAUCCAAGAAUAGGCUGGACCAGUGGGUGGGAAACGACUAGAGAUUUUAAUGUAUUUUGUCUAUUUGUAUAUGUAAAGAAAUUUCUGUAGUCAAUAUAUAUGAGCUUUUGUGAUCCACUGAUGGUUAAUGCUUAAUUAAUCACGCCUUGCGUGACUAUAGUCCUCCUGGUCUAUAGGCGCGCGGCGGCUGUCUCGCCUAGGCCCGGUCUCGGGGCCAAUGCUCCUGCUGCUGCUCAGAGCACAACUCCGAGAGAGAAUUAGAUACGAGAGGGGAGAGCAUGAGAGAGAAAGAGGGUAAGAGAGAUGAAGAAUUCAUGCAUGCGCAUACAUGUUUGAAGUGCUAUGGAGAGAGGUGUCGAGGCAUUCGUCUAAAGAAGAAUAUUAGCAUAUGUAUGGUUCAUCAGAUUUUAUACGAUGGGGUAUUACUUGCUGGCCGAAUAUUAUUCUAGAGGAGAAGUCUUAUUUUCUGAGGCAAGUAGCUACUUUACUAACCCUCAAAUGCGUUAUGUUCCUUUGAUUAUCUGAUUGUAUUGUUGAACCUUGAUCUUUAUUGAUCCUCUCUUGAUCCUUGAGAGAGGGAUGUGUUGUCCUCGUAUUCCAUUUGUUGAUGGAAUCAGAGUAUUUUGGAGGUACUCGUGAGAAGUCAUACGCGUAUUGUCUUUGACUGAUAUUACAGUGAUUCUACCGUUGAUUCAAAAACAUAUCCUAUUUUGUAUUGGUGUCACAACGGCAAACGUAAUAUACCGGUCACAGUUCAGGUAUGGGACUGUCUGGGUUCUUCACUAAGGACGGACCUUGUUCGGGAACAUGUCGGUGAUGGAUCCGUAGGAGCGACCGACAUCAGUAGGUCCAGGUGUUUGGGUCUUAGUGGGUACAAGAGCUCUGCUCUUCUGGAACCUGUGUGGUUCUAGUCGAGACUGUCGACGUCGGAGUACCCCUCUUAAGAGCGUAAAAGUGUGAAAUUUCACCCCUGUGACUCCCGGGUUGGGAAGCUUGCGGUCACGUGUGAUGCCAAUACCUCCCUUGUUCGUCUUUGAUUAUACUAUUUAUUUUACACAUCUCCAGCAAAAUAUGUUCCAGUGAUUGUUACCUUGUUUAUCCUUUGGAUUCAGUUCGUUUGUUGAUCUACAACAUUUUACCAUUGCUUUUGUUGAAUAAUGAAGUAUCUGCUUGCUGAGUAUGAUUUAUCGUACUCACCCUUGUCUCCUCCGUCUUUUUAGAUGCAGCCGAUGUAACUUAAGUAUGCCCAGAAGAUGUCAUCCAAUAUUAGGUUGGACCAGUGGGUAGGAAGUGACUAGAGAAUUUAAUGUAGUUUGCCUAUUUGUAAAUGUAAAGAAAUUUGUAAACCAAAUAUAUGAGAUUUUGUGAUCCACUGCUGGUUUAUGCCUGCUUUAUCAUGCCUUGCGUGACAAUAGGCCUCUGGUCUAUAGGCGCGCGGCGGCUGUCUCGCCUAGGCCCGGUCUCGGGGCAUGACAGUUAAAGUGAUAUCAGAGCUCUAGGUUUUUAGGUUGCACUGGGAUAAAGGGGUAGAUCGUCGAAUAUAUUUGUGUUGUGUGACAGCUAUGAAGAUUUUAUUUUCAUAUCUUGUCUCAACUAGUUUGUGUGUUGGUACUCAUGAAUAGUUUCAACAGAUAUCCAGGCAAAUAAAAAGAAUAGUGUACACAUUAUUGAUGAAAUUUGAGGAUGCAUGGAAAUAAAUAGACAUCUUGUUAGAUUAAUACAUGACUUAAUAUUUGUGUAGAUUUUCUUGUUUAAGACAACCGGUAAUAAUGUUCUAGUAAUGGGACAAUUGCUAUACCACUAUCUAUCCUUUUUGUUAAUGAAUUUACCAAAUAAAAUGUUUAGUGUUGCCAACUUAUGUUAUAGCAGAUAUAUCCAUGAAUUGUAGAAAGAUUGCAAAUCUUUUUUGCAUUAUUUUUAAUUAAUUAUUGAGCAUGCAUCAAAUAAACUGUUCCAAAUAUGAUGGGAUGGAAUUUGAUCACUAAAAAAACAUAGAUGUUAGUGUUGAAUUUCGGGGACGAAAUUCUUAUAAGGUGGGAAGGAUGUAAUAACCCAUAUUUUUGGGUUAUUGAUUUAAGUUAAGAUAAGUAAAUUUUUAUUAUUUUGUUAACAUAAAUAAUUGAGCGAAGAAGACAUGCUAGAUUAUUGUUGCAAGUAAUUAAAUAGAACUGUAAUUUUUGCAUGCGUAAAAUAUUAGAUGGAAAUGGACCAGGUACAAAUGAUAGAUUGGUAGAUAUUUCCAAGUACUAGAAUUCCAAGUCAACUAGGUGCAUGCAUGUCAUGAUGAGAAUGCACACGUAUGUACUGUUCUUGCUAGCUAAGUAAAAAAUCUAUGUGUACGUGGAGGUUGGCGUGGCAUGCAUGUAGUCUCUUGGACAUUCUAGUCCUAUACGUGGGCUCUUCCUAUGGUGCCAGGUUUGAUUAGGCCUUUGCACUAGAUGUAGGGGCAGCAGCCAAAUCAUUUUUUACCUAGCUUCAAGGGCCAAGGGUCAAGCGGCAAGAGUCACUGCGGCUGAGAUAUUUUAGCUAGUGACCGACUGUCAGCUCCUAUAAAUAGAACGCUCCUGCUGCUGCUCAAAGCACAACUCCGAGAGAGAAUUAGAUACUAGAGGGGAGAGUAUGAGAGAGAAAGAGGGUAAGAGAGAUAAAGAAUGCAUGCAUGCGCAUACAUGUUUGAAGUGCUAUGGAGAGAGGUGUCGAGCCAUCUGUCUAAAAAAGAAUAUUAGCAUAUGUAUGGUUCAUCAGAUUUUUAUACGACGGGGUAUUACUUGCUGGCCGAAUAUUAUUCUAGAGGAGAAGUCUUAUUUUCUGAGGCAAGUAGCUACUUUACUAACUCUCAAAUCCGUUAUCUUCCUUUGAUUAUCUGAUUGUAUUGUUGCACCUUGAUCCUUAUUGAUCCUCUCUUGAUCCUUGAGAGAGGGAUGUGUUGUCCUCGUAUUCCAUUUGUUGAUGGAAUCAGAGUAUUUUGGAGGAACUCGUGAGAAGUCAUACGCGUAUUGUCUUUGAUUGAUAUUACUGUGAUUCUACUGUUGAUUCAAACACAUAUCCUAUUUUGUAUUGGUGUCACGACGGCAAACAUAUUGUACCGAUCACAUUUCAGUUAUGGGACUGUCUGAGUUCUCCGCUAAGGACGGACCUUGUUCAGGAACGUGUCGAUGAUGGAUCCGUAGGAGCGAUCGACAUCAGUAGGUCCAGGUGUUCGGGUCUUAGUGGGUACAAGAGCUCUGCUCUUCUGGAACCUGUGUGGUUCUAGUCGAGACUGUCGACGUCGGAGUACCCCUCUUAAGAGCGUAAAAGUGUGAAAUUUCACCCCUGUGACUCCCGGGUUGGAAAGCUUGCGGUCAUGUUUGAUGCCAAUAAUUUCCUUGUUCAUUUCGUCUGUUGAUCUACACCAUCAUACCAUCGCUCCUUGUUGAAUAGUGAAGUAUCUGCUUGCUGAGUAUGAUUUGUCGUACUCACCCUUGCUUCCUUAUUUUUUUUAGAUGCGAACGAUGUAACUUAAGUAUGUUCAGAAGAUGUCUUCAUCCAAGACUAGGCUUGACCAGCGGGUGGGAAGCGACUAGAGAAUAUGAUGUCUUUACUCAACUAUUUGUAGAUGUCAAGGAAUUUGUAUAGCAAAUAUAUUAGCUUUUGUGAUCCACUUCUGGUCUAUGCCUGCUUUAUCAUGCCUUGCGUGACUAUAGGCCUCUGGUCUAUAGGCUCGCGGCGGCUGUCUCGCCUAGGCCCGGUCUCGGGGCAUGACAAUUAAAGUGCAUAUUUUGUAGAACGUAAUGUAUCGGUCAAAGUUCAGGUAUGGGACUGUCUGAGUUCUCCGCUAAGGACGGACCUUGUUCAGGAACGUGUCGGUGAUGGAUCCGUAGGAGCGAUCGACAUCAGUAGGUCCAGGUGCAACAAUAAAAUCAGAUAAUCAAAGGAAGAUAACGGAUUUGAGAGUUAGUAAAGUAGCUACUUGCCUCAGAAAAUAAGACUUCUCCUCUAGAAUAAUAUUCGGCCAGCAAGUAAUACCCCAUCGUAUAAAAAUCUGAUGAACCAUACAUAUGCUAAUAUUCUUCUUUAGACAGAUGGCUCGACACCUCUCUCCAUAGCACUUCAAACAUAUAUGCGCAUGCAUGAAUUCUUCAUCUCUCUUACCCUCUUUCUCUCUCAUACUCUCCUCUCUAGUAUCUAAUUCUCUCUCGGAGUUGUGCUUUGAGCAGCAGCAGGAGCGUUCUAUUUAUAGGAGCUGACAGCCGGUCACUAGCUAAAAUAUCUCAGCCGCAGUGACUCUUGCCGCUUGACCCUUGGCCCUUGAAGCUAGGUAAAAAAUGAUUUGGCUGCUGCCCCUACAGCUAGUGCAAAGGCCUAAUCAAACCUGGCACCAUAGGAAGAGCCCACGUAUAAGACUAGAAUGUCCAAGAGACUACAUGCAUGCCACGCCAACCUCCACGUACACAUAGGUUUUUACUUAGCUAGCAAGAACAGUACAUACAUGUGCAUUCUCAUCAUGACAUGCAUGCACCUAGUUGACUUGGAAUUCUAGUACUCGGAAAUAUCUACCAAUCUAUCAUUUGUACCUGGUCCAUUUCCAUCUAAUAUUUUACGCAUGCAAAAAUUACAGUUCUAUUUAAUUACUUGCAACAAUAAUCUAGCAUGUCUUCUUCGUUCAAUUAUUUAUGUUAACAAAAUAAUAAAUUUACUUAUCUUAAUUUAAAUCAAUAACCUAAAAAUAUGGGUUAUUACAUCCUUCCCACCUUAUAAGAAUUUCGUCCCCAAAAUUAAACACUAACAUCUAUGCUAUUUUUUUUAGUGAUCAAAUUCCCUCCCAUCAUAUUUGGAACAAUUUAUUUGAUGCAUGCUCAAUAAUUAAUUAUAAAAUAAUGCAAAAAAGAUUUGCAAUCUUUCUACAAUUCAUGGAUAUAUCUGCUAUAACAUAAGUUGGCAACACUAAACAUUUUAUUUGGUAAAUUCAUUAACAAAAAGGAUAGAUAGUGGUAUAGCAAUUGUCCCAUUACUAGAACAUUAUUACCGGUUGUCUUAAACAAGAAAAUCUACACAAAUAUUAAGUCAUGUAUUAAUCUAACAAGAUGUCUAUUUAUUUCCCAUGCAUCCUCAAAUUUCAUCAAUAAUGUGUACACUAUAUUUUUUAUUUGCCUGGAUAUCUGGUGAAACUAUUCAUGAGCACCAACACACAAACUAGUUGAGACAAGAUAUGAAAAUAAAAUCUUCAUAGCUGUCACACAACACAAAUAUAUUCGACGAUCUACCCCUUUAUCCCAGCGCAACCUAAAAACCUAGAGCUCUGGUAAACAGUUCCAUCUAGAGUCCAUUGCUUUUGUUGAAUAAUGAAGUAUCUGCUUGCUGAGUAUGAUUUAUCGUACUCACCCUUGUCUCCUCCGUCUUUUUAGAUGCAGCCGAUGUAACUUAAGUAUGCCCAGAACAUGUCAUCCAAGAUUAGGCUGGACCAGUGGGUAGGAAGCGACUAGAGAAUUUAAUGUAGUUUGCCUAUUAGUAAAUGUAAAGAAAUUUGUAAACCAAAUAUAUGAGAUUUUGUGAUCCACUGCUGGUUUACAAUGUAACAACCAUAGAAAUAACAAACAAGGAAACGAACUGAUAACCCUCCUUCUGCACACAUAUACUCAUAUUUUAGUUUAAGAAUUCAUGCAUGCAUCCACAUUUGAAGAAGAAUAGAGCGUUUAGGUGCUGCUGGAGGGAAGAGCCAAGCCAUACAUCAGAAGAAAUAUGAGUAUAUGUGUGUUCGUCAGAUUUUAUACAAAGAUGAUGGAGUUUCAUCUUCUUGCAAAAUAUUAUUCUAAAGAAGAAAUCAUAUUAUCUGAGGCAAGUAGCUGCUUUGCCUAACUCCCCGAUCUCGCUUUAUUGUUGUCUUCUUUGGUUAUCGGUUAAUAUUGUUGCACCUUGAUCCUUAUUGAUCCUCUCUUGAUCCUUGAGAGAGGGAUGUGUUGUCCUCGUAUUCCAUUUGUUGAUGGAAUCAGAGUAUUUUGGAG
rnacentral:lncRNA from 1 species